rnacentral:lncRNA from 1 species
UCGCCCAUGCAGCCCUAAACGUGACCCUUUCAACCGCCAAGUCAACCUCGGCCAUGAUGGUGAAGCUUGCCAAAAGCCAAGGAUUGAAGCCUACAGAGGUGGGCGCCAUGCAAGAUUGCGUGGAGGAAUUGGAGGACACGAUAGAUGAGCUGAGAAAGUCAAUCAGCGAGAUGGGUCAGAUUAAAGGCUCCAAUUUUGGACUAAUGAUUAACGAUAUACAGACAUGGGUUAGCGCUGCUUUGACGGAUGAGAACACCUGCGCCGACGGGUUUGGAGGGAAAAACAUGAACGGCAGUAUAAAGACUGCUGUGAGAUCCAAGAUUGUCACAAUCGCUCAUUUGACAAGUAAUGCCUUGGCUUUGGUCAACAGCUAUGCUUCAUUUCAUGGUUAGCUAUUUAAUCAACUGUACAGGGGAAAUUUAGUCAUUAUUUACGGUAGCAAUUGUAUUUAUGGAUUUUUAGAAACUACUUCUGUUUUCCUGGUAAAUGUAAAAUAUAUAUGUGGUCCAAAGAAGGGAAUGGAGAUGUGUGUGUGUGUGUGUGUGAUCUUGGUGUCUUAAUGAAAAUGAACGGAGUGAUCUAUAUUAUGUGCACACGUUGUAUCUGUACAAUAAAUUGCUUUUUGUGAACAUAGUAAAAGUAAAGUUGAUGAAGCCUCUGUUGCAGCAUACAAGCAGAGGUUUUAGUUUGUUGCAAGUACAUCUGGUCUUGAUUUUGUAUAGACAUAGUAGUAUUAUUUUGAUCUCAUAUUUUUGUAACUCAUUUAAGACUACUUAAUAACUUUACUAAAUGCAAAUUUUGUUUCAAACGUCAAGAUUAAUUUGGUAUUCAAAAAUAUCUUGUACUUGAAAUUACGAGUAUUUUCGAUAUUAAUAUAUUCGAGCACUCAACUUCCACUUCAAAUUCUGGGCCCUUGGUCCCUACCCAAUGAUGAUUGCCUACCCCGUACUUAGUUGCAUACUUUCUUGGUUUAAUUAUUAGAAUAAAUAUCUAUCAUUAGUUUAUUAGUUGUUUUUUCUUCAGUAAAAAUAUGCUCACACUCGACUCGAUUGUUGAAUCUAAAUAUAAAGUACAACAUUUAUUGUCGAAGUAACUCAAAUUAACUACCACUUCAAUUGUAAUUUUGAACAUCAAUUAUUCAUUACUCAUAUCAAUACUAAGUGAUUAAAAACAAUUUCAGUUCAUUUAAGAUGAAUCAGAAACAUUUUAAAAUAAAUUCUAGGUGUUCGGGGCUGAUUGGGACAAAGUUCGAGUCUCAAGGGUUAAAAUGAGCCCAUUUAAAAUGAAUUAGAAACACACUUGUAAGGCUAUAAUGAGCCCAUUUAGGCAUAACACCCUCAACUGAUUUAAAACAUAGUAGAAUGAGUCCCAUGAUAUAGGUUCAUAAUUAUCCUUUGCACAUUUAGCGGAAUUGAACGCUUAUCCCACCACAUCACGCUAAUAGAUAAAAAGACCUCUCCUAUAAAUAACCUGAUGAACAAGGAAGAAGGGAUCGAUGGCCAACACCCUAAAAUUACAUCUUGAUCGACAUAUCCUAUUGUCCCUAUUUUGACUGUUAACCUCUUUAAGUGAACUGACCUUCAUUUCUCCUCAGUCCAAGUCCUAUAAGAGGUGGUAAGUGGUGUUGGACUCUAAUAUAGUUUAUAUUCUACUAAUCCAAUCAUUACGAGAUUAAGUAAUUAUAUAUUGGGUACUUAUAUCCUUCAAAAAAUAACCCCAAUAAUUAACUUAAAAAGAGAGAGAAAAACUAACCCUGUAAUCAUUUUCCGGUGGAGAAUUUUGGCAUCCAAAAUAGGAGUAUCCUCUCCUUACGUUAUGUUUUCAAUAAAAAUCAUAAAUGAAAAAAAAUAAUGUAUAUAAUAUAUUGUUGGUAUAUCAGUCUGUACGAUAACCUUAAAUUUAAAGCAUUCAUUUCAUAUAAAUAGUUUUUUUUUAAAAUUUAUUUAAUGUGUUAUGAACAAAUAAAAAAGAAAAAAGAAAAAUAGGCCUUCAUUAAUUUUUAUUUCAUUGGGGAACUCGGUAUAAGUAAAUCGGGAGCAUGUUAGAACUUUAAAAUUUGAUAUAACAAAUAAAUUCGGAUCUAUCAUGUAAGAUCAUCAAGAGUAAAAAGGUAGAUGUAAAAGUACACUUAAAUCCAUUAAUAUAUUGAAAUCUUCGAAAUCUUAUAUUUUUUAUCUUCUAAAUUAAUACAAGUAUUUAACAAGAGGUGAUUCUCUUUCCUUUCUAAAUAUGAGAUAUUAGAAAAGUUACGUAUGUGUAAUUUGGAAACCAUAAUUUUAACAUAUAGCUUUUGCACAUUAACCUUAAUUUCUAAUUAGACUAUUAUCUAUUAGAAAUUAGUUACUAAAGUAUCUACACAUAUUCGACUUAUACUUUGUUUAAUAAUUAAAGCCCAAUAACCCUUUAGAUCACUGUCGAUUUUGGCUAAGCUCCUAUAAUAGUCAAUAAUUACAUGUAAUUUUCUUAUUUUAUAUGUGACGUCUAUAUAAUUCAACAAUCUUUUACUUGGACCACAUGUCAUUAUAUAACCUCGUGAGCUCAAAAAUUUACUAUCAUAUCCAAAAGGUAUUCCAAGCAAUCUCGUUUAUUAAUUAUAUUAAUAUAGAACUAAGACAACUUUCAUUACAUAUAUCAUAACCAAAUCCAUCAUUGAUAAUGUAUAUUAACACAACCAAAUGAUAUAUAUCAAGUAUGGAUGUGAAGCAUGAAAAUUACAUGCAAUGUGAUCUAAACAUAUUUAUUUUCAACUGUUCCUCUUUAAACCUUAGUGUAAUCAAACAUUACCAAAAUCAGAGUGUGAACAAACCAAAUAAAAUUUAUUUUUGCAUAAAAAAGCCUUAAAGUAUUCUUCAAUUGAAAUAAAAAAAAUGUUUCUAUGAUAGAAAAUCAUUUAAAAUUACAAACUCCCACUAACACUAAAUAUCUUAAAAUGACAUUACACUAAUUUGAGCAGUGUCCUCAUAAAAAAACCUUGGGUGAUAGUAUCUUAGCGAAAAAAGCUGCCAUUAUAGAGUUUGACUCAAUAUGCUUCAUAGACACUUGACCACUCUAAUUUUUUUCUUUAACAACCAUGGAUUUAAAGUCUAUGUGCAUUAACUUUGAUGUGCUCCUAUCAUUAUUUGAAUAAAUGGCUACCAUAUAUCGUCACAAUUUGCAGCCUAAUGACAAAAAAAUUGCAUCAAUAUUCCUACAAAAUCAAAUUAUUUAUACUUGAUAAUCUCUAACUUCUCAAGCCUCUGACAUGUGAACAUGUAAUGUUUUGUUUUCUAAAGAUAACAUAUGAAACAUUUGACUACUUUUCAACUAUCUAUACUCAAAUUACUCAAAUAUCUGCACAACAUCCCAAUAAUGUACAUAAUAUAUGAAAACAAUAUACAUGAGCAUACAUUAGACUCUCCACUACCGAAGCAUAGAGAAUUUUUUCAUUUCUUUAGUCUCAAAAUCAUUCUUGGGGAAUUAAUCAAGAAUAAACUUAUUAUUGAAAAGUAAUAGGUCAUCGACAUAUAAAACCAAAGAAAAUCUCACUCUGAUUGAACUUGUGGUAUAUAAUCGUUAACCAAAGCCAUAUUAAAACUAAAUGAGGGUUGCACCAUAUAAAUUGUCUCAUAAAUUUCAUCAUUGAGAAACACAAUCUUGACAUCCAUUUGAUGCAACUCAAGGUUAAAAUAUAACCAUUGCAAAUUUCACUUAGAAACACAUUCCAUUUAUAACCAUCGAGGCUUCUUUUGAUGGAGAAAGUUGUCUUUCUCUCUUCAUUUAUAACCACCGUAAAUUUCAUUAUAAAAACACAUUCCAUUAUUUGAAUCAACCACCAUUUGCAAAACCUAAGUUCUCUUAAAAGAUCUUGAAGGAAUUCCAAUUCAAAAUAGACAUAAGCUUUUCUUAGGUCCAAUUUGAGGGCCAUCAUCCCUUUUAUUCCCCAUUAACAUUUCUUCAUGCAUGAAUUACCUCAAAUGCUAUACAAAUAUUAUCUUUGAUUUGAUGAUGUAAGGCCCCAAUUUUUCUUAGGUUUUGAUUGUUAAAUUAUGUCAAAUAAAUUGAUUUAGUAUGGUGGUUUAUUGCUUUAGAUGUUUACCUUGAGUCUUAAGUUUGAUUCCCUUAUUUUGAAAUUUUCCCAUUAAUUUUGGAAUUAUGUCAGAAUUGAAUCUUAGGGUUUAUUUUUUUAUUUUGUAAGUUAUUAAAAAAAAUAAGCCUAAUGGUUCAGUGGUAAGGCUUUAGCUUACUCGGGGUAUUGAGUUUGAGCCUUGUUGUGCACAAAAGUGGAAUUCUUUUUUGUUUCUUUUCCAUGUGUUUAAAGUUGAGUUAUAUUCGAAUUCUGAAUAAUUUGGUGGGUUAAGAUAUAACCAAAUUAUUUUAUUUUAUUUUAUUUUGAAUUAACAAAAUAUCCCUAAUUUUACUCGCCCAACUUUACCGUCCAUCGCCCUACUCCUUUUUGAUGUUUGUUUUCUUCUUCACUUCUUUCCUCUUUUCUCUUUUGCUUUGUUGCCAUCUUGUUCUUUAUUUGAGAUCAUUGCGUAGAGUUCGUUGUUAGAUCGUAAUCCAAUUAAAGUGUAAGUAACAUCAUAUUAUUUAAUGAGAUUGAGAUUUAACCUAUUCUUUGAUCAUGGUAGGAUUUGUAAUGGUGUUUAAUUCUCGUUCUUCAUUGUGUUAAACAUUUUUGUGGUCUUUGAUUAGGCGAAAGGUGCGAGAUUCAGGAUCUUCUAGUGGAUUAGUUAUUGUUUUAGGUACUUUUUUUACAAAGUAAGUGCUCCAAUAUCAAUUUUGGGGACUGGUCUUUAGUAAAAGAAAUUAUUAAGUUAGAUGUCAGUUUAAUUUUUGGUUGUUAAUAGGCGUAAUUUAAUGUCAUAUGUAGGAUUCGGGAGUUCUCGCUUGUGUAGCUAAUCAGAGAUAACAUCGGGUGUGUGAUUCUAACCCGAAACAUCAAUUAGAACUUAGAAAAUUUUGAAAUAUGCAAGUUGUUUUUGAAGCCACGGUGCGUAACACAGCCGUGUGGAGCCUAUGGGAGUUUGCAAUUACAUGGUCUAAAUAGGAAGGGCGUGUGGGCUACACAGUCUGGCCUACUAAGUCGUGUGGGCCACACGGAUGUGUGAGCCCAAUUUGGUCACUUUAUUAAGCCCAAUUCGGGCCAGAUAUGAGACUCUGAAAUUGGAUUCAAAAUUAACUUGUGAGCAUGUGAAACCAUAAAAUUUGUAAAUUUAAGUGUUUGUAUAUUAGAAAGCAUAAUCCAGUUUAAUAAACUUCAUGUAGGCUAUAUGAUAUGAUGUGUGAGUAUGACAAUAAUGUAUGCAUGUCAUAUUUAUUAUUUUUUAUAGACAUGUGUUAGUAUGUUUAUGUCUGUGCAUUGGGGUGGGGUAUGAUAUGUGAUAGAGGAAGUGUAUUCUGGUAGUAUAACUGCAAUUUUGGCGGUUAUACCACAUAUCAGUUUGGCAGCAUAGCUGUAACUUUUUGAGUGACAUACCACCAUGUACCAGUGUGAUUUGAUGGAUGGACUCUUGUAGUCCUAGUUGAUCUGAUUGGUUGGACAAAGUUGGUGUGUAACAGAUAGAGAUUGGAUUUUUUCUGUUCUGAUAUAUGCUUCUGAAUAUGUGGAUUUUCUAUUCUGUUUGUUCUGAAGUUUGCAUAUAAGCAUGAUAAUAAUAAAAUUUGUAUGUGGGUCAAAACACACAUUGGGCUUCUAACUUACUUCAGUUGUGUUGAUACUUUUCAGGUGAUCCUCAAACUUAGGAUUUGGUGGCGAUUCCAGAGCUCUAUUAAGAUAGUUUAACUUUAAGUAUGUUUGGGCUUAUUUUGGACUUUACAGGCUUUUGAACUUUUUAAUUUGUUUGCAAGACAAUUAUUUUGGUUUUGGUUUUUAUUGUGUGAACGUAUAAUUUUAAUUGAUUUUUUUAACAAGACACCAUAAUCGUUGAAACUCUAUGUUUUUUCAAAAAUAAAAACUCUAAAGCAUUUUUCCAAUGUAAAGUUUUGAAUUUAAAAAUAUUGCUUUACAAAUCGAAUAGUGGAAGUGGUUGGGUUUGCUUUUAAAUGAUUAAUAAAAUAAUAUUUUCAUCAAAGCACACUCACACAAAUUUUUCGUAACAACAACAUUACUAGAAAGAUGGUUACAUUUUAUGGUAUAUAUGUUUUUCAUUAAAUUAAUUUAAUUUAUUUUCUCUCAAUUUAAACUUAAGUUUGCAUGAAAAUAAAUGAUCAAAGUUUUAUGUACCGUGUAACCUUCAUAAAUCUACCAUAACGUUUAGGCCAGGUUUGGGGUGUUAUAAUUGGUGGUAUCAAAGUCAGGUUGCAAAACUCGGGCUGUGAAAUUUGGGUUCAAAAUGUUUUCAAAAAAUUCAAAAUUUUGAUUGAAAUUAAUAUUGUGAAUUUUUGUAAAGUGGAAUCGAUGCUUCGGAGUUGAUUCAAAUAAGAAACUUCAAACUUUAGAUACAUUUUAGAUACUUUUACAUUAGUUACUUUAGUAAAAUUGUUUAGCUCUAGAGACUGUAGUAAUUAAACAUUCUCUAAAUUCUAAUAAAUAACUUCGAUAAAACUCUAAAAUUAGGAUUUUUACAACCUAAGGUAAUUCAUAAAACUCUGAAAUUGUAGAUAAGAUAUGUGUGCAUGAAGAACCAAGGACGUUGAGGGUAUUAAAGAGGGUCGCUGAGACCCACUCUCGAUCUAGGAGUCAAGGUCGGUAAUUGAAUGACUUCGGUUGAAUAGGGUAGAGUUAUUUAGGGGUGUCGUUGGGAUCGAUCUGACUGUGCCUGAGUACUUGUUGGAGGCCACAGAAAGAAUAAUGAAUGAUCUAGAUUACACCCCUGAGUAGAAACUGAAGAAUGCGGUAUCUUUACUUCAUAAUGUAGCAUAUUAAUGGUGGAUGACCAUUGAGUAGGGCACCUAGCCUAAGCGCAUGACUUGGGCAUACUUUUAGAGUGUAUUCCAGAAUAAAUAUGUGGAGGUGAGUUAUAUUGAGGCUCGUAAAUGCAAAUUUAUUGGGCUAACUCAGGGUGAGAGAUUUGUGGUCGAGCAUAAAGUUGAAUUUUUGAGGCUGAAUAUCUAUGCUCAGAGUUUGGUUGAGACAGACUAUGACAAGAGUGUCAGUUUGAGGAGGGGUUAAGGUAUGACAUCAAGGUAUUAGUAGCUCUACAGUAGGAACGAGUCUUUGAAACUUUGAUGGAGAAAGUGAAAACCAUUGAGGAGAUUAAGCGCGUAGAGCGUGAGAAAAGGGAUAAGGAGAGGAGCCAGAAUAAGAAUAAGAGUGAGUCAGUUCCUUCUACUUCUAUUCAGUGGCUUAUGAAAUGGGCCAAGGUUGAUAGACCUCAGUAGGUUGAGUCGAUUGCUAGGGUUGAGUGGGUUUCAUUUUGUGAGUACUGUAAUAGACUCCAUUCGGACGAGUAUUGAAGGUGGAUUGGAGCUUGCUUUAGAUGUGGGUCUAUUGAGCAUCGAGUUGCCUCUUUUGUUCAAGCCAGUGCAAGCUCUAGUUUAGGAUUAGGUUUAGCCUUGGGGGGAAGUUUAGUAGCCCGCUAGAGACUGUAGUCAGUUUAGGGGUGAUAAUAGAGGUGGUCAUGAUUAGAAGGCAUUGAACAAAGGUAAGAUUAAGAUUGAGGCGAGAUAACCCGCUUUGGUUUACACGGUGAGGUGUCGUAAGGAUAGAGAUGCAACUGAUGUGAUAGCCAGUACGUUUACUAUGCAUUUGCAUCCUUAUUUUACUUUGAUUGAUUGUGGCUCCAUGCAUUCUUAUAUUGCUCGUAGUGUAUCUAGUAAUCUGGGGAUUUUGGCUAAGGAUACUAAUAGUAAGAUUUCUAUGAUUAGUCAGUUGAGGCAGUCAGUUCAAGUUAGUAAGGUAUUUAGGAGGUGCCCACUUAAGAUUCAGAGGUUUAUGUUUCCGGCUAAUUUAAUGGAAUUAUUGUUCAGAGUGUUCGAUUUGAUAUUGGGCAUAGAUUGGUGGAGCAUCAGGUUGGUUUGGAUAGUGAUUCUAAGAGAGUGACUCUAAAGGUUAGUGAUGGAGAGGAGGUUGUGAUCGUCGGCAAAAGCUGAGAUUACCUCUCUAAUGUGAUCUCUGCUACAGUAGUCAAAAAGUUGGUCAAAAAAAAGUGUGAUGCAUAUUUGGCUUAUGUGCAUGACACGAGUGUUGUGGAAUUAGCUGUGGAAGGAAUUUGAACUAUUAGAGAUUUUUUAGAUAUCUUUCUCAAGGAAUUACUGGGGUUACCACCCGAUAAGAAGCUUGAAUUCGGAAUUGAGGUGUUGCUUGAGACUAUUCCAGUAUCUAUCGCUUCUUAACUUAUAGAAAAAAAAAGGAGGUGAAAGAUUUAAAAUUGAAACUUUCGGAACUUCUGGAUGGGGGUUUAUUUGACCUAGAGUGUCUCUAUAGGGAGCAUUGAUUCUUUUUGUCAAAAAGAAAAAUAGUUCUAUGAGGAUGCGUGUGGAUUACUACUAGUUGAACAAAUUGACGAUAAAGAACAAGUACACACUUCCGAGGAUUAAUGACAUGUUUGACUAAUUUCAUGGGGCAUCAAUGUUCAUAAAGAUUAAUCAUUGUUUCGGAUAUCAUCAAUUGAAAGUAAAAGAGGCUGAUGUCCAUAAGACUGCCUUUAGGACUCGUUAUAGGCAUUACGAGUUCUUUGUCAUACCAUUCAGCUUGAUUAAUGCUCCAGCUACAUUAAUGGAUCUUAUGAAGUGAGUUUUUCAACCGUGUCUGGAUUAGUUUGUCAUAGUGUUUAGCGAUGAUAUUCUGGUAUACUUUAAGACCGAGGUUGAGCAUGAUGAGCAUCUUAUAGUGGUUCUUCAGAUUCUUCGAGAGAAUGAGCUCUAUGCUAAGUUAAGUAAGCGUGAAUUUUGUUUGAGUGAAGUUAAGUUUCUAGGGCAUGUGGUUACUACCGUGGGUAUUCGAGUGGGCCCUAAGAAGAUAGAGGCUAUUCUGGAUUGGAAGCAACAUAGAAAUAGACUGAGCUUCGGAGUUUCCUUGGUUUGGUGGGAUAUUAUCGGAGGUUUGGUGAGGGAUUCUCACUUAUAGCAGCUUUUUUAACUGAGUUAUUGUGUAAGAGUGCACCGUGUGCAUGGACUGAUAUGAAGUAAUCGAGCUUUGAGAUGCUCAAAUCUAUUUUGACUCAGACGUUCAUUCUAGUCCAACCCAAAUUUGGGAAAGAAUUUGUUGUGUAUAGUGAUGCUUCUCACACCGGUUUGGGUUGUGCUCUAAUGCAAGAGGAUAAAGUAGUAGCUUAUGCACCCAGGUAUCUUAAGCAUAAUAAAGGUAAUUAUCCGACACAUGAUAUUAAGCUAGAUGUGGUUGUUUUUGCUCUUAAGAUUUGGAAGUACUAUCUAUAUGGUGAAAGGUGUAUCAUUUAUACUGAUCAAAAGAGCCUCAAGUAUCUCCUCACUCAGAUGGAGUUGAAUCUUAGACAAUGUUGAUGGAUCAAGUUUCUUAAGAAUUAUGAUUGCACAAUAGAGUAUUAUCCUGGUAAGGCCAAUGUGGUGGCCAAUGCUCUUAGUUGGAGAUCUAUGUCUGAGUUGAGGGCAAUGUUUGUUCGCCUAAGUCUGUUUGAUGAUGAUGGAAUUUGGCCGAGUAGCAAGUUAAGCCAAUUUGGAUGAAUGAGAUUAGGGAUAAACAACUUCUGGAUGAGUAUUUGAUUAGUCAAGUUUAGCAUAUUGAUGAGGGUAAGACUUCAGAUUUUAGGUUUAAUAGUGAUGGUAUUCUAUGUUUCCGAGGUCAGAUUUAUGUACCAAGUGAUGUGGAUUUGAAGUAAUCCAUUUUGCAGGAAACGCAUAGUAGCCCCUAUGCUAUGCAUCCCGGUAAUAAUAAGAUGUAUCGUGACCUUUGAGAGUUGUACCGGUGCCCUAUGUUGAAAUGUGAGGUAAUGGAUUACAUGUCUCAUUGUUUGAUGUGCCAACCAGUUAAGGUUGAGCACAAACUCCCUUCUGGUUUGCUUUAACUCGUUAAGACUCCAUUGUGAAAAUGGGAACAUUUAACUAUGGACUUCGUUAGUAGGUUGCCCUUAACACCUGCUAAAAAGUAUUCGGUAUGGGUUAUAGUGGAUCGAUUGACUAAGUCUACUUAUUUUAUUCCAGUUAGGACCGAUUAUUCUUUGCAGAAGCUAGUGAAUUUAUACAUUUCUAAGAUAGUUAGGCUUUAUGGGAUUCCAAUAUCGAUUAUUUCAUAUCGAGAUCCUUGAUUUACUUUUCGAUUUUGGAAGAAACUGUAUGAGGCUCUUGGUACUCAGCUGGAAUUUAAUAUAACAUUUUACCGAUAAACUGAUGGUCAAUCCGAGAGGGUAAUUUAGGUUUUAGAGGAUAUGCUUUGGAGUUGUAUUAUUGACUUCCAGGGUAGUUGAGAGGAGUUUUUUUUUCCACUAGAAUUCGCUUAUAAUAAUAGUUUUAAGUCUAGUAUUCAGAUGACACUUUAUGAGGCUUUAUAUGGUCAUAACUGUCACACAUCGCUUUGUUAGACUGAGUUGGAUGAGAGGAAGAUUAUGGGUCGUGUCUUCCUUAAGGUAUCCCUAUGGAAGAAGGUUUUCAGAUUUGGUCGAAAAGGCAAGUUAAGCCCUAGGUGCAUUGGGUUGUAUCAGAUUUUGGGGUGUGUUAGGUCGGUUUUUUAUCAGUUAGAGCUACCUUCGGAGUUGGACUGUAUCCAUAACGUCUUUCAACUUUCCAUGUUGAGAAGUUAUCAUUUGAUCCUUUUCAUGUGAUUCCAGUUGAGGAAAUUCAAUUGAGACCAAAUUUGUCUUCCGAGGAGAAAUCUAUACAGAUUCUGGAUCGUAAGGUUAAGGUCUUGGGGAGAAAGACCAUUUUGUUAGUUACAAUUCUGUGAAGGAAUCAUGGUUCAAAGGAGGCCACUUGGGAGCCUGAGGACUGGAUUCGUCAGCACUAUUCCUAUCUCUUUGAGUCAGGUAAAUUUUGAGGUUGAAAUUUCUUUAAGGAGAGGAAAGUUGUAACGUUCCAAUUUUUCUUAGUUAUGGAUUGUUAAAAUUAUGUCAAAUAAAUUGAUUUAAUAUGAUGGUUAAGUGCUUUGGAUGUUUUCCUUGAGUUUUGAGUUUGAUUCCCUUGUUUUGGAAUUUUCCCAUUAAUUUUGGAAUUAUGUCAGACUUGACCCUUAGGGCUUAUCUUUUGAUUUUGUGAGUUAGUGACAAAAACGAGCCUAUUGGUUUUGUGGUAAGGCUUUAGCCUACCCGAGGGUUUUUGAGUUAAAGCCUUGUACGCAAAAGUGGAAUUCUUUUUUAUUUCUUUGCCAUGUGUUCGAAGCUGAGUUAGAUUCGAAUUCUGAAUAAUCUGGUGGGUUAAGAUAUUACCAAAUUUUUUUUAUUUUAUUUUGAAUUAACAAAAUACCCCUAAUUUUACUAACCCAAAUUUAUCCAUUCUCACUCCAUUUUCACUUUUCUUCUCUUUCUUUUUGUUUUCUUUCCUUUUCUUAUUUCCUUAUUUUCGAGUUUCCUUUUUGCUUUGCUGCCAUCUUGUUCUUUAUUUGAGAUCAUUGCAUGGAGUUUUUUUGUUAGAUCGUAAUCCAAGUAAAGUGUAAGUAAUGUCAUAUUAUUUUUUGAUAUUGAGUUUUAACCUGUUCUUUGAGCAAGGUAAGAAUUAAAAUGGUGUUUAAUUCUCUUUUGUCAUUGUGUUAAACAUUUUUGUGGUGUUUAAUUAGGCAAAGGGUGCGAGAUUCGGGAUCCUCCAGUGGAUUAGUUGUUGUUUUGGAUGCUAUUUUGUGAAGUAAGUGCCAUAAUAUCAAUUUUGGAGACUAUUUUUUAGUAAAGGAAAUUGUUAAGUUAGAUGUUGGUUUAAUUUUUUGUUGUGAAUGGGCAUGGUUUAAUGUCAUAUGCAGGAUUCAAGAGUUUUUAGUUGUGUAGCUAAUUAGGAAUAUUUUCAGGUGUGUGAUUCUAACCCGAAACAUCGAUUGGAACUCGAGAAAGUCUGAAAAAUGUAAAUUGUUUUCGAAAUUGCAGUGCACCACACGAGCGUGUGGUCAAUAGUGUGCUAGGUCAUGUGAAGCAAAAGGGCGUGUGCGAUUACACAAGAAAAAAGGUAGGGCAUGUGGGCCACACAGUCUGGCCUGUUGGGCCGUGUGGGCCACACAAUCUGGCUUGUUGGGCCGUAUGGGCCACACGGACAUAUGAUCCCAAUUUGGUCAAUUUUUUAGACCCAAUUUGGGUCGAAUUUAAGACUCUAAAAUCGAGAGCAUGUGAAAGCAUAAAAUUGGUAAAUUUAAGUGUUUGUGCAUUAGAAAGCAUGAUUUGGUUUAAUAAACUCCGUGUAGGCUAUAUGAUAUGAUUUGUGAAUAUGAUAGUAACAUAUGCAUGUCAUAUUUCUUAUUUGUUAUUGGUGUGUGUUAGUAUCUUUAUGUAUGUGCAUCAGGGUGGGGUUUGAUAUGUGAUGGAGGAAGUCUAUUCUGGUAGUAUAACUGUAGUUUUGGCGGUUAUACCACAAUAUCUGUCUGGCAGCUUAGCUACAACUUUUUGAGUGGCAUACCACCACAUACUAGUGUGAUUGGAUGGAUGGUCUCUUGUAGUCCUAUUUGGUGUGAUUGGUUGGACGGAGUUGGUGUGUAGCGAAUGGGAGUAGGAUUUGUUCUAUUCUGAUAUAUGCUUCCGAAUAUAUAGAUUUUCUAUUCUGUCUGUUCUGAGGUUUGCAUUUGAGCAUGAUAAUAAUAAAUUUUGUAUAUGAGCCAAGACAUACACUGGGCUUCUAGCUCACUUCAUUUGUUUUGAUACUUUUCAGAUAAUCGCUAAACUUAGGAUUUGGUAGCGAUUUUGGAGUUCGGGUAAGAUAUUUUAACUUUAAGUAUGUUUGGGCUUAUAUAUAACUUUACGGGAUUUCAAAAUUUUUAACUUGUUUGUGGGACAAUUAUUUUGGGUUUGAUUUUUAUUGUGUGAAUGUAUAAUUUUAAUUGGUAUUUUUAACAAGAUGACAUAAUCAAUGAAACUCUGUUUUUCAAAAAUAAGAACCCUAAAUCAUUUUUCUGCUACAAAGUUUUGAAUUUAAAAAUGUUGCUUUACGAAUUGAGUAGUGGAAGUAGUUGGGUUUGUUUUUAAAUAAUUAAUAAAGCAAUGUUUUCAUCAAAACACACUCACAUGAAUUUUUGGUAACAACUACACUACUAGGAAGAUGGUUACGUUUUUUGGUAUAUAUGCUUUCUGUUAAAUUAAUUUAAUUUAUUUACUCUCAAUUUAAACUUAUGUUUGCACGAAAAUAAAUGGUCAAAGUUUUAUGUAUCGAUGUAACCUUCAUAAUCAGACUGUAACAUCUAGGCCUGGUUUGGAGUGUUACAGAUGUCUUAUGACAAAUGUCAAUUGAAGAGCGGAAGCAACCUCGACAAGAAUUAUGCGUAACUAAUUAGCCAUAAUUUUUGCUAUUACCUUGUAGCUAAAAUUAACGACAUUAAUUAGUCUGUAGUGAGAUAUUUCUUCAAGAUUCUUUUAUUCCAAGUUGAGAAAUAAGGUACUCACACUUGACCCAGUCGCCAAGUUUGAAUGCAAGACACCACAUUAUUCGUUACUGAAGGAACUCAAACUAACUUUGCACUUUGUAUUUGAUAAGAAAUCAUCAAGAGGUCAAUUAAAAAAACAUUAUCCACUCAUUAAAAUUCAUAAUUAAGACUUUUUAAAUAAUUUAACAACAUUUUAAAAUGAUUUCUAAGUAUUCAGAGGUGUCCGAGGCCAAGUAUGGGCUCUUAAGGGUUUUAAUGCAACAAAAUAGAGUAGGAACCUUGUUGGGGGCUUAAGUACCGAUACUUAUGGUCUUAGGAAUUUGUAACUAGCCUAGUUACUGUAAAAAAAAUUGUAUUUUUUUGCUAGGUACUGAUACCUAGAGUAGAGGUACUGAACCCCUAACCUCUGCACUAAAAAAAAAGUAACUUUGUAUUUACUUAUUUUGACCCUAAACAUUACCAAAUCAAUACAAUGACUUAUAAACUCUAAAAUAAAUUUUAAAACAUCAUUUACACACAUUACAAUACCUCCAAAAAUUAUGGAUACAUACAUGUUAAAGGGUUUAUCAUACUUAACUAACAAAGUUGCUUACUUGGCAAGCAAGCUACCAACUUAUCAAUAGCAUAUUCUUCUUAUAAGAAGUUCAUACAUCUAUUAAGACAUUGAAAGUAGCAUGAUAUAUGUGCUUUGAAAUUAACUUUUGAAAAUAUGUACAAUCAUCCAAAACAGCAACAUGGCUAACAUUAACAACAUAAACUCUAACUACUUUCUAUUUGCCUAGGUACAUGCCAUUACUAAAGGUAUUUCAAAAGAAUAUUAUAAGGACCUUAUUGAGCUGAGUUGUGUGCCUUUGAAUUCCUUUUAACUAUACAAACAAGAUUGUUAUAUGCCUAGUCCAUACGCACAGAACAAACAUGUUUGUACGUUGAGCAUUGGAUGCUUAGUUGUGCCAAUACAAUUUGAAUAACAAAGUAAGGCAUAACAAAUAAACAAAUAAUUAAACAUGUUACUAAUACAUUAUAGCAUAUCAUACAAUAAAGUUUAUAAUAAAACCAAUAUCUCAUAAUAUCAAUCCUUAAGCUUUCAUGAAGAUAUCAUAACUUGAUUUCUAUUUCGUAUAUAAGCAUAUCGAUGUACCCUCAGGGUUUGCAUCUCAAUUUCAUUUAUCAAAUAACUUAAUACCUUUCAUAACAUUCCUCAUAUUUCAACUUAAUUCUCAUUUCCUUAUAACAAUUUCUAUCUCUUACCAUGUUCUAUUAUCAUAUCAUUCAAUUUAGUCAUUAUAUUCAAUGUUAAUCUCAAAUACAUUUCUUUAUAAUUAUUCACUUUUAGAGUACAACUAUUAAUUUAUUGUAGAUCAAACAAUCAAUUGAAAUGCACAUAUCUGAAUCUUUUAUUAACUAAUUCUGAAUUCACAGGUGAAUACAUGGAUUAUUACAUCAAUAUAUGAUCAAGGACACCUAGUGCUCUAGAGCUAAGGAUACAUUCUUACGAACACCUAAUGCUCUGGAGAAUUAUCCGGUAAAAUGCUCCAACACAAUAUUACCUCAAUAUACGUUCAUGGACACCACAUACUCUGGAUAAUUAUUGAUACAGUCCCUCAGACACCCAGUGCUAUGGGGAACUAUUCGAUGAAUUGCUUCUAGUGCUAAAACGAUACAUUCUCAUUGCCAAUAAAAUUUAUGCAUAUGUAUUUCAUAUUUUCAUCAUAUCACAAUUAUACAUGUAUAUAUGUAUAUAUAUACAUAUUAUUACAAAUGUCAUUAGAAUCACAAGCAUAUCCUAAUACAAAUUAGAUUAGUAAACAACAUCAUUUCAUAUUGAAUUUAGUAAGGCAUAAUACACUUUUUCUUAGCUUUAGAUGCUAACCAUCCCAUAAACUCAGUUACUUAAUAAGAUUAUAUAAUUAAGGCAAACUAAGUUAGCACAAAUCAGAUUCGUUAGUUUUUGUUUACUCUCAUCUUCUCAUUAUUCCUUGAUAUUUUUUCUUGUAUUUAGCCUUGUUCAAUAUAGAAACAAUAUUAGUUUCUCAUUAUCAAACAUAUAAAGCAUUCACAUUAAUCACAUUUAUUCAAACCAUUCAUUUAAGUCCCUUAAUUUCCCAAAAUCUAAAUUUCAUUUAUUUUACAAUCUACUCGAUCAAAUUUAAGUCUAACAUUACAAUUAUUAUUUAGGAGUCUCUAGUUACCCAAAAACAUAAUUAUUUCUUAAAAAUUAAAAAUUCUUUUCACAUUGAGACUUUAAGCUUCCAUUCAUAGCCAUUUACUGAAUUCUUAACAAUAACCUAUCUCCAUCACAAUCCACUUAAAUACAAAGUCAUGUCUACCAUAAUCUAAGCUUAGAACACCUAAAUAUUCAUGAUCAAUUUUAUCUCUCUAGAUUCUUUAACCUUUUUCAGUGGUAACCAUACACAAUACUCAUUAAUCUCUCCCUCCCUCCCUCACUCACUCAGUCACUCACUUACUCACUCACUCAUUCUCUCUAUAUUUUAAAUAAUUUAAUUAAACUAAUUACAAUGAUCUACUGGCCAUGCUUUGAAGAUGGGAAGGUUAGAGGAGAAUAAUAAAUAAGAUUAAGUUAAGCCACUAACUUAAAUAAUUAUGAGAAAAUUACCUUUGAGUCAUGGAUCAAUUGCACAUUUAAGGUUUGUAAAGUUCCAUUUUUAAUUCCUUAAAUUCAAAUCACUAGCAACUUAGUCUCUGGACUAUACUUAAUAAUAUAUUUAUCUAUUUACUUCAUGAUUAUGCUUGCUACUUUUGUAUUCGACUUGUAAUUGCUAAAUUAAAAUUUUUGGGCUUCCUUGACUUAGUAAACUUGGCCUUGAAACUGAAUUUUUCAACAUCGAUUAAAAUCGAGUCAUUACAAAGAAAAUAUUAGUAGUGUUAACUUAUUUUAGUAAGCGCCAACUUUGAAAAAAAAUUUAAAAUGCAUGCCUUGACUUAUUCAUUAUUAAGUUCUCAAAAAUAAUGAUAGAAGGGUCCAAGAAACCCAUCAUAAGCACCAAGAUUAAAGACAACAUUCUAUAUCUCUUAAUCACUUGUUUGUGCAACUCUCUAUUCAUAUCUUCAAAGAUAAUAGGUGUGAUUAAGUUUAUGACAACCUUACUAUUGAAACUAACUUGGUUAUUAUAUGCCCUAAAAAUUGUUGGUGUGAUGAUGAUAUAAUACAUCAAUAACAAUAUGACAACGAACAUCUAAAAGAAUAAAUGUUUUAACACUAAGCCUAGCAAGUUUAAUUGUUUAAAUAAAUUUACCUUUUUAAUAAAUUUUAUUUAUAUUAUUAUAAAGAUUUUUAUAUAUUUGAUUAAGAUUAUGAUAUUCAUUAUGGUUAUGAUUAAUUUUAUUUCUUCAAACCUGACGUAUGUGUAAAGAAAAUUUAUAUAAGUAUUGAAAAUAAGUAAGUAAUAGAUAUACAUCCUUUCUUUCCUUAUUUUAUUUAUUUCACUAUUUCUGUCUUGUGUUUUAUGAUUUUUGGAUUAAAUUCAAGGUGUAUAUGUGGAAGUUGUGUGUUUAUUAUCAAAUCAUAAGCUGUCAUUUGUGAGAUUACUUUCUCAAAUAGUUAGAUUAAGAACAAAAUUUUCAUAUUAUGCAAUUAGGAUAAGUUGUAUUGAUAAUGCUAGUGAAUUCAUAUCUCAAGCUUUUAAUUAUUAUUAUAUAAAAAAUUGAAUAGAUGUUACAAAACCUAUUGUUUAUACAAAUAAUGAUUUAGUAGAAAAUUAUUGAUUAAAUGCCUCUAAUUAAUAGCUUGACCAUUACUUAUGAUAAAAAAUAUUUUUCGCAUAUAUUUUUACAACUAAUACCCAACCUGAAGGCCGAAUUCGAGCUAUGGAAUGUCACAACCAUUAUUAGUGGAACAAACGUCACAUAAACAUCAUACAACUAUUCACAAACACAAUUAAAUAUAAUCCACUCACAAACACAAUUAAAUAUAAUCCACAUUCAUAUUAAACUACAUAAUCAUUCCCAAGUCUCAUACGAGCUUACGAAAGCUCUUUUGCUAACAUAUGGUGAAAUAGGACCAAAUUGUAAAAUUUUCAAAAUCUCAAGCUAACGUCGUGACUUCAGAUAUAUUGGCCUCGUGACGUCACUCACUGUUGGCCUAUGUCAUGACGUCGAGGGUUCAUGGUCGUGACAUUGCCCGUGUUUUUUUGGCAAAAUGCACAUUUGGUAUCUAUUCACUUAUUUCUAAACAAUGCAUAUUAUCGCAUCCAUUCAUUUGUUAAUUCUACCUAUACCAAAAUAUGACAAAACAUACUAAAACAAGUUUAUAAAAUUUGAAAUCAACUAAUUAAAGUAACAUUCAAUCUAAAAUCAUCGUUUAAGUUCAAUUCAUCCCUUUAUCCUCUAACCAAGUCAAGCUAAGCCAUUUAAAUUUAACACAUACAUACCUGCACAUUUUAUGUGUCAAGGGCUUACAUUACCUUAGACUAAACCAAAACAAGCACAUAUGUCAAGCUACAUAUAUACAUAUCAUGACUAAUUAUCAAGAUUAUCAUUUUCUAGUCAUUCACCAACUUAUCAAACUUAACCACUUAAUUAUAUAACUUUAAACAUACUAGGCUCAAAUAAGUUCAUGAUCAUUCUUUUUCAUAGCAUCAAACCUUACCAAUUCAAGCAUUAACUAGAUCAUAUGUUAUGCUUAACGUUCAACAUCAACAUUUACCAUGUUCAUCACAUAACUUCCAACUAAACAUGACUAUUUUUACACUAAGUUAUCCUUAUAUACACUAUCUUUAAUCUAGCAAAAUUUGUUUCAAUUGUUAUUUAUGAUUUUUCUUUUGGGCACUAAUGUUUAUGGGUUUUUAGUUUAUUUUGAUUUUUACAUGAUAAACCACAAAUGUAACAUGUUUUAAUCCCAUGCUUAGCAUGUUUUUGGAUUAUUUAUUUCAUAAAUUAGUGAAUUUGAUGCUCCUAAUCCUUUAACUUCAUGUUUAUAUACUUAGGUGAGCAUAAGGGAGCAAAAGGAACAGAAAAUGGGCCAAAACCAGACAAAACAGGCUAUUUUAAGGAUCCAUACGGCCAAGCCAAUCCCACACGGUAUGAGCACACGCCCGUGUGAACCACAUAGGCUAGCCACAUGCCCAUGUGCCAGCCCGUGUCGACAUCGCUCUAUAUUUCCAAAACACACGGAAAAAGCCAAUAUCUGGGGUUUUUGAGCAUUCUAAAGUUUAUAAAUACACACUAGAAGAGGACCUAGGGGGACGCAGAGUAGAACGCAGAAAUUACUCGAAGAACGCCAAUGGAUUCAGCUCGAAAGUAGGAUCUCCUUCAAGACUGAAGAUCUCCAUUCAAUUUCUCUCGAAGUUUUUGGGUUUCUUUAUGUUUUGUUGUUUUCCUAUUUUUGAGAUGUUUUCCUCAAAGAGUAUGAACUAAAUUCCCUAAAUACUUAGGAAAGAUGAAACCUAUGAUGGAUCUUAUUAUUUUAUUUGUUCUAAAUUACAUGAUAAAUAUUUGUUCUUGAUCUCAAUUAUGUGUUCUUAUUUCAUGUUUUUAAUAUUUUUAGAAUAUUAAUUCAUGAUUGAUGUUAUUAUCCAGGGGAGCAAAAGUCCCUAUCUCAGAGUAGAUCUCGCAUAAUUGAGUGGAGUUGCAUGCAACCCUAGAAAUAGGGCGACCGGAUUAGAGUCAAAUCUAAUAGGGAAAUCCAUAUAUCGAGUUAAUGCGAUGAUAGGGGUUUUAAUUAGAAAGAGAUUUCAAUUAAUCAACCUAGAGUCAGUUAUUUUUAACUCUCGAAAGAGAUAUUAAUAUAAUUUAGGGAUUUUUACGGAUCAAGUCAAAUGAAUAAAUCGUUUAAUUCAGAUUUAGAAUAAUAAGUGAAGUCUAGGUGGAUUCUUUCCUGGGUAUUGUCUCUCUCGUAAGUUUUCUUCGAUUAUUUUCCCAAGUUGCUAUUUGUUGUUUAGUAAUUAGUUUAGUUAAAUUUAGACUUUAAAAUAAACCCCUUCAAUUUAUUUGGCUAGAUAAUAAAAAGAUAGUAACUACUAGUACUUUUAGUCCUCGUGGAUGCGAUAUUCUUGACUCAUCAUAGCUAUACUACCAUUCGAUAGGUGCGCUUGCUUUUGUCAUAUUUUAGUUAGUUUAUAAUGUCAUCAUUAUAGUUCUCUUAUUCUUUUUAGUAUCAUUCUUCUUCAUUGGUUAAUACUAACUCCUAUGUCUUUUGGUGUUUGAAUUUCAAAUUUUUUAUCGUCUUUCCACUAUCACUUUCUCUCAUUCAUUUAGCUAUUAAAUGUUAUGUUCGAUUAUAGCAUAGGAUAUUGGCUUAAUUUUCGUAUGAUCGGUUCAUUUUUCUGCUUCGUAUUGUUUUAACACUUGAUUAUUUGAUUGCUUUCUUACAGAUUUAGCAUGACGAACACUCGUGGCAAGUCCGAGAUCGCAUUCCCUGCUUCGAAGAAGCGAAAAACCCAUGGUUGGACCUUCUCCUCGAGCGCUUCCGCUGAGGCCCACCAUCCUUAUCUCCAAUUUUCAACGGGCCCCCAGGAGUAUUUAUAUCAGCUCCUUCACAUAUGACUACUCGGCCUAGGUCGCAAUUUUGAUUGGGUCGUAUUGGAGCAUGUCUGACUAGCUAAUGAUGUUCAUGCCUUUAUUGUCACAGCUCCGUGGGACAGAUUCUUCUCCAUCAUGGAGCCCACCUAGCAUGGAGCUUACCUUGGAGUUCUGUUUGACGUUUCUUUUCCAGCAGGUCAUGACGACUCAUGACGAGUCAAGCACCAUUACUUUUUGACUUGGUGGUUUGGUGCGCCACAUGAGUGUCCCCGAGUUCGGUGCUGUUAUAGGACUUUACACAGAGGAAUUCAUGAGCGUUGAGAACUUCCUUCAACUUCAUCGGCACCACCAUCAUGCACCAUCACAUUGUUGGGCCAAUCUUACAACGAGCCAAACACUUUAUGAUGCGAGUCGCUCAAAGGCGAUGUGUCUCUCUCUAGCUUUCAGUACCUUCAUGAUAAGUCAUAAUUUAUACAUAUUUUUAUCCCAUGUUUAGCAUAUUUUUGGAUGAAUUAUCAUUAGAUUUGUUGAAUUCAAUGCUUCUAAUCCUUUAAUUUCAUGUUUUAUACUUAGGUGAGCAUAGGAGAGUAAAAAGAGCGAGAAACGAGCCAAAAACGGAGAAAAUAGGUCAACAUGGGAAAUCAACAUAGCCUGGACUUCCUCACACGGGUAGACCACACGUCCGUGUCUAUUUAGCAGACUCUAAACAUGGUCUAAGCCACCUCACAUCGGCAUGUCCUUGUCGAGCCCAAGUUUAGUUUUAUUCGAAAAAAGGCCUCUCUAGAGGGAUAGCAUUCAAAAGCCUAUAUAAACACCCCAGGAGGUACCUAGAAAUGAUACACGGAGUAGGAGGCAAGGAAUUACUCGAAGAAAGUCGAUUGAUCCAUCUCAGAAGUCAGAUUCUUCUUCAAGACUAAAGAUCUCCCUUCAAUUUCCUUCAGGGGUUUUUGGGUUUUCUUUAUGUUUUGUUAUCAUUAUUCUUCUGAGAUGUUUUCUUUUACACAUAUGAACUAAAUCCCCUAAAUACCUAAGGGGGAUGAAACCUAAGACGGAUCUUGUUAUUAUUUUCUGAAUUGUAUCAUAAAUACUUGAUUUGUUCUUAAUUAUGUAUUCUUAAUUCUUGCUUUAAUAUUCCAGGAUAUUGAUUCAAGUAUUAAUGUGCUUAUUCAGAGGAGCAAAAGUCCUUGUCUAAGAGUAGAUCUCACAUAAUUAAGCGAAGUUGAUUGCGCCCCUAGACAUAGGGCAACAUAAAUCUGUCAGAUUAGGGUCAAACCUAAUAAGAGAAUCCAUAGAUCGAGUUAAUGCAACACUAGGGGUUUUAAUUAGAAAAAGAUUUCAAUUAAUCAACCUAGGGUUAGACAUUGUUAGUCUCGAGAGAGAUAAUAAUAUAACUUAGGGAUUUCUAUGGAUCAAGUCAAGUGAAUAAAUCGUCUGAUUCAAAGUCAAAUAACAAGUGAAGUCUAGGUGGAUUUACCAUUGGUUAUUGUCUAAAUCAAUCAGUUUUCCCAAAAGUAAUUCCCUAAUUUUCUUCCUGUGCAUUCUUAGUUUAGUUAAUUAAUUUAGAUAAAACAAACCCUUUAUUUUUAGGCUAGAUAAUAAAAAGAGAGUUAAUACUAGUACUUUUAGUUCCUGUGUUUUCGACAUUCUGGUCUUGCUAUAAGCUAUACUACUGUUCGAUAGGUGCGCUUGCCUUCAUCGUGAUAAUAGUUAGUUUUCAAGUACGACCAACCAUAAAUAUAAAACUUAUCACGAGACAUCACAUCAAGUUUUUGGCGCCGUUGCCAGGGAACUAAAAUAUUAGGAAUGCUGAAUUUUUAUUCCUUUAGCCAUUUAUUUUAUUGCAAUUUAAAUUUUAUCUUAGUUUUGUUAAUUUUACUAAAUUUUCUUUUGUCUUCUUCUGACAGGUUUUUAUAGUUUAUUACUAGAAGAAACCCCUCAGGACCAUUACUCUUUGACAGUGAGAUUGAAAGCACAGCUCGCAGAAACCGAAGAGAAAUAAGGCGAAGCCAAAGAAACAUAGAAGAAGGACAAAAGGAAGAUAUCCAUAAUACAACCGAGGAGAUGACUGAAAAUCAGAAUAACCAGCUUCCUCCUAUGGUUUCUGCAGAUCCAAUAAAUCAGAAUCCUGCUCCUCGUACUAUAUAUGAUUAUGCUAAACGUAAUUUAACAGGAGCCAAAUCAAGUAUAGUUAGACCUGUUAUUGCUGCAAAUCAUUUUGAACUGAAACCUAACACGAUUCAAAUGAUACAACAUUUUGUUCAGUUUGAUGGUUUGUAGGAUGAGGAUCCAAACGCUCAUUUGGUGAAUUUUCUGGAGUUUUGUGACACUUUUAAGAUCAAUGGCAUUUCUAAUGAUGUCAUUCACCUUUGGUUGUUUCCCUUUUCGUUGAGGAAUAAAGCUAAAUAGUGGUUGAACUCGUUAUCACGAGGGUCAAUCACUACUUGGGAACAAAUGACUGAAAAAUUUUUACUUAAAUAUUUUCCGCCGGCUAAAAUGGCUAAGUUGAGGAAUGAUAUCUCUUCUUUUGUGUAGAUGAAUCUAGAAACACUUUACGAUACAUGGGAGAGAUACAAGGACCUAUUGAGAAGGUGUCCUCACCAUGGGCUACCUUUAUGGCUGCAAGUUCAAACAUUUUACAACGAGGUGAACCCCUCAACAAGGCAACUUAUCAAUGCAGCCGCUGGUGGAAGUUUGAAUAAUAAAACACUUGAAGAGGCUUAUGAAUUUAAUAAAUAGAUGUCACUGAAUAACUAUCGGUGGCAAGUUAUGAGAACGAAGCCAACAAAAGCAGCCAGUGUUUUCAACCUUGAUGCAGUUACUAUGCUAUCUAACCAGGUAGAACUUUUAAAUAAAAAGAUUGACGAUUUAUAUGGUUCUACUCAGGUACAUCCAGUGAUGAGGUGCGAUGCAAAUGGAGGAGGAGUGCACACAGAAUAUCAAUCUUUCAACCCUAGCAUCAAGGAGGAACAAGUUCAAUAUAUGGGUAAUAAUAAUUCUAGACCUCAAAAUAACCAUACAGUAACACUUAUAAUGCAGGUUGGAGGAACCACCCCAACUUUUAGUGGGGUGGCCAAGGAAAUCAAAGGUCACAGCAUCCCCCAAGUGUCUAACAACCACCUUACCAGCAGGAAAAGAAGCCGAACCUUGAAGAGAUGCUCACAAAGUUUAUCUCGAUGUCAAAAACUCAUUUUCAGAAUACCAAAAUAGCACUAAAGAAUCAACAAGCGUCGAUCCAAGGGCUCGAAACUCAGAUAGGCCAACUUGCCAAACUAAUUUCUGAAUGACCACAAGGUAGCUUGCCAAGUAAUACUGAAUCUAACCCAAGGGAACAGCUCAAUGCGAUUACCGUUCGAGAUAAGGAAGGGUUAGUCGAAUCUGAACCAGAACUAAGGCAAGGAAUUGUGGCAAGUAAAGGUAAAGGUGAGGUGGACCACAAUGAGCAAAAACCAGUAAGUAGAGAGUACAAACCUCAUGUGCCAUACCCCAGUGCGACAAGGAAAGACCACACGGACGAACAAUUUGGUAAAUUCCUUAAAUUAUUAAAGAAAUUACAUAUUAACUUACUGUUUAUUGAAGCUCUUUCGCAGAUGCCAAACGCAGUUAAAUUUUUAAAGAAGCUUCUAGCAAAUAAGCAAAAGUUGGAUGAGGCGUCGCAUGUGGAGUUGAACACAGUUUGCUCAGCUGUUCUAUAGAAUAAGCUACCCAAUAAGUUGAAAGAUCCAGGGAGUUUUACAAUUCCUUGUUUAAUUGGUAGUUUAAACGUUAACAAUGCUUUGGCUGAUUUAGGGGCUAGUAUUAAUGUCAUGCCUUAUAAAAUGUUUAAACAACUAGGUCUUGGGAACCUAAACAAACUAGGAUGAGCAUUCAAUUGGUAGAUAAAAUAAUCAGAUUUCCUAGGGGUAUUAUUGAAGAUGUACUUGUUAAAAUUGACAAGUUUAUAUUCCCAAUUGAUUUUGUUGUUCUAGACAUAGAAAAGGAUAGUGAUGUGCCUUUAAUUUUAGGAAGGCCCUUUUUAGCAACUGCUAGAACCAUUAUUGAUGUUCGUACAGGUGAACUCACACUUCGUGUGGGUGAUGAAACAUCACUCUUCAAGCUCGAAAUUUGAGUAACACAUUGAAUAUUGAGGGUGGUUGUAUAAAUCAUGCUACUAAUACUGAUCAUGUGGUGCAACCUUCUUUGCAGGAAACACAUUCGAAGAGCAUACAUGAGCCAUGUUCAAGUAAUAACAAAGGACCUAUCUAUGAAGAACGAAGGUUACAGAUCGAGGAACUAGAUGAAUGUCAGACACAGAAAUUGAGAACACGUGAUAAACCAAAACCACGCCAUGACGGACUCAAUGUGUUACCAAAUCAACUUAAUGUUGGAGACAAAGUACUAUUAGCUGAAGAAGACCCUCGAGUUGAAGCAUACAAGUCUAAUGCGAAUGAAGUCACACCCUUUACGGUAAUGAAUAUUUUCCCGUAUGGUACAGUUGAGGUAACACAUCCCGAAGUCGAUACUUUCAAGGGAAAUAGUACUAGACUUAAACCUUAUUUUGAUAUAAUUGAUAGCAGGAAAGAAGAGUUUCAACUCCUUAAACCACCAUGACUAUGCAAAAUCGAGGUAAGUCAAGCUUAGACUAUAAAUAAGCGCUUUUCGAGAGGCAACCCGAGCACUAACAAUGUUGAUUUCUUUAAACUUUUGUUUUUAACAUCUAAAUCAUUAACUGAGUCCUUGAACGCAGUUUUUCCAAAUCCACACGGCCAGGAACAUAGGCGUGCUUUAGGCCGUGCUCAUAACAUGGGCAGCCACACGGCCGUGCUAUACGACCGUCUGAAAACAGAGCAAAAUUUUUCCCAAAACACGGGAUUCGAUACGUUACCACAGCCAUGCGGCAUGGCCGUGGGCAAUCCUGCCAAAUGAACACGGGCGUGCGACACCUCUGUGCCCACCACCCGUGGUCAAGACUGUCAAAAGAACACGGGCGUGCGCAUAUGUACACGGGCAUUGGAGAAGCGAACCACAUCGCACACAGUCGUGUGAUACGACUAUGUGACCACAUGCCUUAAACAUACGGGCGUGUCUUUAAGCCAUGUGAUGAUUUCUCAUUUCGCGAUAAACACGGGCGUGUGACACGGUCGUGUGAGACCCGUGUUGGGCUACACGGCCGUGCCUCUUUUUAAACUCAUAUUAUUUUUAUUUUUACUUUUAUUUCUAUUUAUUUUUUAAUACUCAGGUUUAUAUUUUUAAACUCUACUUAUCUUUAUGAUUAUUAUCAAAUUAUUCCCUUAAUUCUCUUUCACGGUGGUGUCUUCUCAAUUAUCUCUCAGAAUCAUGCCUUUCCUUCAGCUUUAUUUUCAAUUCUCGCUCUCACUAAUCCAGGGAUUUCAUCCACAAUCUCAGGGCAGUUUCAUUUCUUUCCCUCUCUUUUGAUUAUAUCACUAUUAUAUAUCUUUGUACAUUGAGGACAAUGUACAUCUUAAGUGUGGGGGGUUAUUUAUACCAUUACCAGAAAACCCCUGAAUUUUUAUCUUGUCUCAAAUAAUUUUCUCAUAUCAUUAUUCGAAUAAAUUUUGAUUGACCCAUGAUUUUUAUCGAUAUGUUUUGAAUUAAAUCAUAAGUUAAUGUACAUUGAUUGUUUAAACUCUAAGACAUUAGGGAAUCAAAUAUGAUAAGUUAAAAUUUUUGAAAAUUAAAAUUGCUAGGUUGUUUCCCUGAAUUGAGGUAUUAUCUUGAAAUUUUGAAUUUACAAGUUUGACAUCAAAUACCCAUAAUUUUCACGAGAUUUUGAGCCUUACAGAGCAUAUAUCUUUUUUGCUCACUAAUUUUAUUGGUUAUGAGUGUGUCAACAUUGAUUGGUUAUUCUAGAACUUGUAUUAAUUAUACAUGCCAAGACCGCACCUUUGGUUUGAUAUACUAAAAUGAUAAAGGCACUUAGGUUUUAACCCAUUUACCCCAUAAAAAAGCACUACCCACAUAAUUGACCCUUAGUGAACCCCUUUGGGCCUUAACUAUUUUUUUCUUAAUUUUCCCCUUAAUAAUAACUCAUAACUUAACCCUUUUUUAUUCAUGGAGAAUUUUUCUUAUUUUAUUGAUUCCCUUUUUGUCGAGAUUUAAUUUGGUUAAUUGCCUAACUAUGUUCUUUUAUUCGAAUCACAUAAUUCUCUCUUAUUUGAUUUGUUCUUAAAAAAAACAUACAUACAUACUAGUAGUAAUUCUUUGUUUUUGAGCUUAAGUUGUUAAUUUCGUAUUCUGAGAAGAAGCUUACAUGUAUUCAAUUGAUGAUUAGUUAUUUUUCCAGUUAGGUAAUUUAUCAAGUUAAUAUCGAUUCUGACCGUUUCUUUUUCAGCCUCAAUCCACACCUUUAACCCAAGGCCCUAUUACAACCCUUCAAAGACCUUUUGAUUUGUGUAUCAUCUCAUUUAUAGUGGUAGAGACUUGAUUCUCAUGCAAGUCUAUGGUAAUAACUUUUCAUGUUUGACUAGUGAGUGCUUAAUUUGAACAUUAAACACAUUGAGUGGUUUGAGUGAACUUUUAGUGAGAAUGUCAACCAUUGUCAAUUUGGAAUCAAAGAUAAUUACUUAGAUAAAGGUGGAUGCCUAUAAUUUUAUGAUUAAAAUGCUCGAUUUUGACUAUUUGAAACUUUAAUGCUCUUUUAGUAAAAUUUUCAAUGCAUGACUACUUGUGGAUUAUUUCGGAACAUUAUUGAUAAGAAUUAUAAGUUGAGAAGAAUCUAUUUUGAUCGUGAGUUUAGGAUUUUGCUUGAGGACAAGCAAACGCUUAAGUGUGGGGGUAUUUGAUAAGUCAUAAUUCAUACAUAUUUUUAUCCCAUGUUUAGCAUAUUUUUGGAUGAAUUAUCAUUAGAUUUGUGGAAUUCUAUGCUCCUAAUCUUUUAAUUUCAUGUUUUAUACUUAGGUGAGCAUAGGAGAGUAAAAAGAGAGAGAAACGGGCCAAAAACAGAGAAAAUGGGUCAACAUGGGAAAUCAAUACAGCCUGGACUUCCUCACAUGGGUAGACCACAUGCCCGUGUCUAUUUAGCAGACUCUAAACACGGCCUAAGCCACCUCACACGGGCAUGUCCCUGUCGAGCCCAAGUUUAGUUCUAUUUGAAAAAGGCCACUCUAGAGGGCUUUGAAGCAUUCUAAAGCCUAUAUAAACACCCUAGGAGGUACCUAGAAAGGAUACACGGAGUAGGAGGCAAGGAAUUACUCAAAGAAAGCCGAUUGAUCCAUCUCAGAAGCUAGAUUUUUCCUCAAGACUGAAGAUCUCCCUUUAAUUUCCUCCAGGGGUUUUUGGGUUUUCUUUAUGUUUUGUUAUCAUUAUUCUUCUGAGAUGUUUUCUUUUACACAUAUGAACUAAAUCCCCUAAAUACCUAAGGGGGAUGAAACCUAAGAUGGAUCUUGUUAUUAUUUUCUGAAUUAUAUAAUAAAUACUUGAUUUGUUCUUAAUUAUGUGUUCUUAAUUUUUGCUUUAAUAUUCCAGGAUAUUGAUUCAAGUAUUGAUGUGCUUAUUCAGAGGAGCAAAAGUCUCUAUCUAAGAGUAGAUCUAGCAUAAUUAAGCAGAGUUGAUUGCACCCCUAGACAUAGGGCUACAUAAAUCUGUCAGAUUAGGGUCAAACCUAAUAAGAGAAUCCAUAGAUCGAGUUAAUACAACACUAGUGGUUUUAAUUAGAAAGAUAUUUCAAUUAAUCAACCUAGGGUUAGACGUUUUUAGUCUUAAGAAAGAUAAUAGUAUAACUUAGGGAUUUCUACGGAUCAUGUCAAGUGAAUAAAUCGUCUGAUUCAAAGACAAAUAACAAGUGAAGUCUAGGUGGAUUUUCCCUUGGGUAUUGUCCAAAUUAAUCAGUUUUUUCCAAAAGUAUUUCCUUAAUUUUCUUCCUAUGUAUUCUUAGUUUAGUAAAUUAAUUUAGAUAAAACAAACCCCUUUAUUUUUAGGCUAGAUAAUAAAAAGAGAGUUAAUACUAGUACUUUUAGUUCUUAUGGGUUCGACAUUUCGGUCUUGCUAUAAGCUAUACUACUGUUCGAUAGGUGCGCUUGCCUUCAUCGUGAUAAUAGUUAGUUUUCAAGUAUGACCAAUCAUAAAUAUAAAACUUAUCACGAGACAUCACAUCACUUCACGCACUUUUAGUUCACACUAUGACUGGUAGGAGAGAGAGCACUGGAUUCGUUAGUACUUACGACGCAUAUUUUCUAUGGAGCAUGGCACACGGAUAUAUAUUUAAUUUAGCUUACUUCAUCGCCUUAGCCUUCUGCCAUCAGAGUGACCACCAUAGGUAGGGCCCCAUCUGUUUAGGCCCUUAUGUGACUCGCCUCACUGACACUUCGGUCUCCUAGACACACCGAAGCAGUCCUCUACACUCACACUAGUCGGCCAGAUGUCCCCUCAGGGAAUCUUGGGCAUGAUACAUAUGAGGAUGAUUGAGCGGCAUCGUGGAGUGGAUCCCCUUUAGUAUCGAUUGUUUCAUUCUAACGCUUAGAAUGAACCCGAGGACUUCACUGAUAAUGUUCCUCUCCAUCAUGAAGACCCACCACAGCAUCCACCUUUGAGUCACCACCCUAUUCCUUCUUUUCCUACUUCAGAGGAGAUCUCAGAGCGGCUCACUCGCUUCAAGCAAAACUACGCUCAGAGGUUUGAAAGUCUUAACAUGACAUUGCAGAGGAUCUAUCAACAUUUCUAUAAAUCCUCUCCAACGCCGACGACACACGACACUGAUGUGCCUGAUGAUGUGGACCAUUGAGUCCAUUUAUUUUAUUUUUAGUUUUAGUUUUAGUUUUAGUUUUAUGUUUAUAGUUAUUUUCUUAGACUUCUUUUGCUUUUCUAUUUUGAAUUAUAUUUUUAUGGUUGUUUCUAAUCGAGUAACCCUUUAAUCUUCUUCACCACUUGUUUCCAAUCGAGUAACAUUUAAGAUUAGUCUACAAUUCCGCUUUUCACUAUUGUGGGAUUUCAUCCUAUAUUCAGAGCAGUUUCAGUUCUCCCCCUCUCUUAUGGUAUUUUGUUUCUAUUGUGAAUAUAUCUGUUUGUACAUUGAGAACAAUAUACAUCUUAAGUGUGGGGAAGUUAUUUAUAUGAUUAUUAGAAAAUAUCUGAAUUAUGCCUUGUAUUUAAGUAAUUUUCUCAUAUCACUAUUAGAAUGAAUUAUUAUCAAUUUGUGAUUAUUAUUUAUAUGUUUUAGAUUAAGUUCAUAAAUAUUUGUGCAUUGAUUGUUUAAACUUUAAGCAACCAAUCAAGCAUGAUAAGUCUAUUUUCAAAAUUAAAAAUUUUUAGGUUGUUUCCCUAAAUUGAGGUAUUAACUUGAAGUUUGAGAUUUGCAAGAUUGAUAUCAAAAAUCAUAAUUUUUUGUGAGGUUUUGAGCCUUUAGAGCAUACAAUUUUCUUACUCAUUUUAUUAUUGGUUAUGAGUGUGACAAUAUUAAUUUGUUAUUCUGGAACUUGCUUCGAUUAUGCAUGUCGAGACCACACUUUUGAUUUGAUAUUCUGAGAUGAUAAAGACGCUUAGGUUUUAACCCAUUUAUCCCAUAAAAAGUCUACCUUCAUAAUUAACCCUUAGUGAACCCCUUGGAGCCUAACAUAUCAUUUCUUGAUUUACCCAUUAAUGAUAAACCGUAACUCAUUUUUUGUUCAUUGAGAAUUUUCCCGUUUUAUUGACUCCAUUUUUUAUCGAGAUUUGAUUUGGUUAAUUGCCUGAUUAAGCCUUUUGAUUAAGUUGUUGGAUUAUUUCUUCUUAUUUACAUAUUAUUAAAAAAUCAUCAAAAAUAUAUAUAUAAAAUAAUACAUAUAUAGUCAUUUAGUUCUUUGUUAAUUGAGCUUGAACAGUUAAAUUCAUAUUUUGAGAAGAAGCUCGUGUUAUUCUUGAAUAAUUUCAAUUAUUUUAAUUAUUUGUAAUUCAACAUUUGUUAUUUUUCUAGUUUGGUAAUUUAUCAAUUCGAUCUCGAUUCUAACCCUCUUUUUCAACCUUUCUCCACACAUUUAACCUAAGCCUCAUUAUAACCUUUUAAAGACCUUUUGAUUUGUGUAUCAUCUCAUUUUAUAGUGGUGGAGAUUUGAUUUUUAUGUAAGCUUAUGGUAAUGACUUUUCAUAUUUGACUUUUGAGUGCUUAAUUUUUGAACCUUAAACACUUCGAGUGAUUUGAGUGAAUCUCUAGUGAGGAUGUCGAUUCUUGUUGAUUUUAAAUUAAAGGUAAUCACUUAGAUAAAGGGAAAUACCUAUUUUUUCAUGCUUUAAAAUGUUUGACUUAGAUUGUUUGAAUCGUUGGUUCUCUUUUAGUUGAACUAUCAAUGUAUGAUUAUUUGUGAAUUAUGUAAAAACAUUAUUGAUGAGAAUUAUGAGCUGAAAAAAGUUUAAUUUUAAUCGUGAGUUGAGGAUUUUGGUUGAGGACAAGCAAACGCUUAAGUGUGGGGAUAUUAGAUAAACCAUAAAAGUAACAUGUUUUAAUCCCAUGUUUAGCAUAUUUUUGGAUGAUUUAUUAUGUGAAUUAGUGAAUUUGAUGCUCCUAAUCUUUAAAUUUAUGUUUCUAUACUUAGAUGAACAUAGGGAAGUGAAAUGAGCGCAAAAACGGGUUAAAAUCAAACAAAAAGAACUAUUUUCAAGAACCAUAUGGCCUGGGCAUUCUCACACGGGUUGGCCACACGCCCAUGUGCCAGCCCGUGCCGAUUUCAAACCCUGCUUCUCUUUUACGCAAAAAACCCAAUUUUUAGGGUUUUUGAGCAUUCUAAAGUUUAUAAAUACAUAUUAGAAGAGGACUAAAGGGAGAACGCAGAGUAGAAUGAAGAAAUUACUCGAAGAACGUCGUUGGAAUCAACUCAGAAGCAAAUCUCCUUCAGUAUUGAAGAUCUCCAUUCAAAUUUCCUUUAAAGUUUUACUAGGUUUCUUAUGUCUUGUUGUUAUUCUAAUUUUGAGAUGUUUCCCUCUUAGAUUAUGAACUAAAUUCCCUAGAUACCUAGGGAGGAUGAAAUGUAUGAUGGAUCUUGUUAUUUAAUUUCUGAAUUACAUGAUAAAUACUUGAUUUCUUAUUCUCAAUUAUGUAUGCUUAUUUCAUGUUUUGAUAUUUUCAGGAUAUUGAUUCAUGUUAAAUGUGCUUAUUCAGUGGAGCAAAAGUCCCUGUUUAAGAGUAGAUCUAGCAUAAUUGAGUGGAAUUGCAUGCAAUCCUAGAAAUAGGACAACAUAAAUCUACCAGAUUAGAGUCAAAUCUAAUAAGAGAAUCCCUAGAUCGAGUUAAUGCGACAAAAGGGGUUUUAAUUAGAAAGAUAUUUCCAUUAAUCAACCUAGAGUUAGUUGUUCUUAUUAUCGAAAGAGAUAUUAACAAAAUUUGGGGAUUUCUAUGGAUCAAGGAACAAGUGAAUAAAUCGUUUAAUUUAGAUUCAUAAUAAUAAGUGAAGUCUAGGUGGAUUCUUUCUUGGGUAUUGUCUAUCUCAUUGGUUUUCUUCAAAUAUUUUCUUAAUUCAUUCUCUGUCGUGUUCUUAGUAAUUAAUUUAGUUAAUUUUAGAUUAAAAAAAAUUCCUCAAUUUAUCAGCUAGAUAAUAAAAAGAUAGUAAUUAUUAGUACUUUUAGUCCUCGUGGAUACGAUAUUCUCGACUCACCAUAACUAUACUACUAUUCGAUAGGUGCGCUUGCCUUUGUCGUGAUUUUAGUUAGUUUAGUGACUUGUCAGUGAGAUUGGGUUAUUAGGAUUGAAACAUACAUUUCGACUUCUCCUACAGACUACCUCACCAUUUAAAUCACUUGCAUAAGGCCCCAAAUCUAAUGAAUCAAUAUAACCAAUUCUCCCAACUGUUGGAUCUGAGAUCUCACCAUUUUUCUCUCCCCUUUUCACUACCUUCACUUACCUUUUGACCCUCACUGUUAACCCUAUUUGCUACUUUUUUUGGUUCUUUUUCUUGCCUUUAUAAUUUCUAUACCAAGCCUUAAUAUUUCUCACCUCUUCAUCCUCAGGUUUGGCCCCUAAAACCCCUUCACUGCCCAAUGAGUUGUUUGUAUCACUAGUCCCACUACUUUCAGAACUUUCCUCACUCUCAGCACAUGCAUCACUACUCUCACCCAACUCUAAUCCCACAUUAGAUUCCCCACCUACCUUGGUAUAUGGUUCCUUAACCCCCACCAUUAACUCUCUCAUUACAAUUUAAUUAUUUAUUACAAUUAGGUUCCCCAACCCCACUAUUUACUUCCCUUUCCUUAAUGGCAAACAACAUGGUAUCAUCAAUAACACUAGAUUUGUCUACCUCGUGUUCAACAUAUACAUAUAUAGACCAUAUUUUUCUAGUACGAUUAAUCAUUGCUAUGAAUGAUGAAUUAUCAUAGCAAACACUCAGUCCCUUACUAAAAUCUAACUCACCCUUACAGUACACAAAGUUCUUUACAGCUCUAUCUCCAGCUUCCACUACCAACUCACACAAAGUGAAAUAACACAAGAAAUCUAGGUCAAAAUCCUAUUGCAGCACUUCCCUUCCUACAUAGGCUACACAAGGGUCUAUGACAAAAAAUUCCACCCAAAUUAAUAUGCAUCACACAUUUAUCCCAAGACAUGAUAAAACACUACACAUACAUAAUAUAAAUUGUAAUAUACAUACAUGAUAAACAUACAUAUUAUAAACAAUAAUAUACAUAACAUACAUAAUAUACAUACAUAAACAAUAAUAAACAUAACAUACAUAAAAUACAUAAACAGUAAUAUACUACAUAACAUAGUAAUAUACAGACAUAAACAAUAAUAUACAUAACAUACAUAAUAUACAUAUAUAACAGAUAUACUAAUAGACUGACCUUUCAGCCUCAAUCGAUUUAACCCUUGAAAAAGAAUUCCCUUCAGUAUGGACUUAUCUACAAACACAUGAAUGCCAACAAAAAGAAAAAUAGAAAUUAGUUAUAAUAGGAAUAAAGUAUCUAAACAACAAGAAAAAAAUGUUAAGCAUUCUUUAAACCAGAAAACUAGUGGUCCUAAUAAAAAAAUUGUCACUUUCUGAGAUUGAAUCAAAAUUCAAGUGGUGAAAAGUAAAAACUUUCUAUUUUUAAAACACACACAAUAAAAAGCACAUCGAUGAUGAAAAGUGCUUUUUAUAUGGGUAAAAAAAUUUACCCAAACAAUAAAAAGUUAUGCUAAGUAAUCAAUGAUGAAAAAAAACCUAGAAAGGUUGAGUAAAAUAGGCAAUCUUGAUUCAAAUACCACAAAUGGUUGGGUAAUCAAAAGGGUUGACUAAUCGAUAAUGAAACAAGGCUUCUUUCAGUGAGAUGAUGAAGAAUUUUUCAGAUGGCUAGGUAAUCGAAAGGGUUUCUCAAAUGGCUAAUCGAAGAAUAUUUUAGAUAGAAUCGAAAGGCUUUCUUGCACAAAUGUUGAAGGAUGGAAACAAGACUGGUGAAAGGAUUCUGUUAGAAUUAAGUGACCCAAAUCCUUAUUUAAACAAAAUAAAGUGGUAAAAUAAUAUAAAAGUAAAAUCCAUAUAGAACUACGCUUCCUUUAUUUUAUUUUAGAAUAAGGUUUUCUAAACCUUAUUAAAUUUCAUCCAUUUUAAAUUUAUUAGAAUAAGGUGUUUCAAUAUUACUACACUCCUAUUAGAAUAUGGCUCUACAAGCCUAUAAAUAGACAUAGUCUAUUCCUCUUGUAAUCAUUCGAAUUCGACAUAGUGAAUUUUCUUCUCCUUUGCCCGUGGUUUUUUUCCCAAAAAGGGUUCCACGUAAAAUCUGUGUGUUCUUUAUUUUAUUUCUCUUUUCUUUGUGAUAUAUAUUUUCAUUACAGGUAUUCUAUUUUAUUUUCACAAAUUGGUAUCCAAGCUUUCUGGUUGUUCAUCUCGAUCACGAUAAUGGCGUCUUUGAAGUAUGAAAUUUUGCUGUUGGAUCGCAACACCAGAUUUGUGUUGUGGUAGAUUAAGAUGCAAGCAGUUCUUACGCAGAUGGAUCUGGAAGAUGCCCUGCUAGGGAUAGAUAAGACGCUUUCAACAUUAACAGAUGAAGAGAAGAAGUGUAAGGAUCGAAAGGCAUUAACACAAUUACAUCUGUAUUUGUCCAAUGAAAUUUUACAGGAUGGGAUGUAGGAGAAGACCGCCGCUGCAUUAUGGAAGAGGCUGAAACAAAUAUGUAUGUCGAGAACUCUAACAAGUAAGUUGCAUAUGAAGCAACAUCUUUAUACUCAUCAUUUGAAGGAAAGUGCAUUUGUAUAAGAACACUUAAUAGUGUUUAAAGAAAUUCUCUCAAACUUGGAGGCCAUGGAGGUUCAGUAUGAUAAGGAAGAUCUAGGGUUGAUUUUAUUUUGUUCGUUGCCGUUGUCUUAUUCAACCUUUAAAGACACGAUUUUAUAUAGCCUUGAGUCUCUCACAGUUGAUGAGGUUUAAGAUUCUUUGACCUCGUAUAAUAAGAUGAAGCAUCUUAUGGUCAAACCUGACUCUCAGGGAGAGGGUCUCACUGUUCGUGGGAGACAAGAUAGGAAUACUGAUGAUGAUCGUGGAAGGACACAAGAACGGAAUCCUCACGGUAAAUCUAAGGGUAGAUCGAAGUCUUCAAACAGAGGUAAAACUUGUAACUUCUACAAUAAGAAAGGGUACAUUAAAUCUAAGUGCUAUAAGCUAUAGAACAAGAUUAAAAGGGAGGCUGCGAAUCAAAAGGGAAAACAACCAGAAAAUUCUAGUGAAGCUGAUGUUGUAGAAGACUAUAGCGAUAGUGAACUUCUAGCCACUUCUGUCAACAAUUCUAAAGUAAACGAGGAGUACAUACUUGAUUCAGGCUACACCUUCCACAUAAGUCCCAAUCGGGAUUGGUUUACAACUUACGAAAUAGUGUCUGAAAGUGUUAUUUUGAUAGGAAAUAAUGCUUCGUGUAAAAUCACAGGUGUUGGAACAAUUAAUGUUAAGAUGUUUGAUGGAGUUUUCAGAACAAUUAGUGACGUACAACAUGUUCUAGAAUUAAAGAAAAAUUUAAUUUAGUUGAGUACUCUUGAUUCAAAAAGGUACAGAUACACAGCUAAAAGUGGGGUUUUACAGAUUUCCAAAGGUUCUCUUGUUGUGAUGAAAAGGCAGAGAAAGACUGCCAAGUUAUAUAUUUUGUAGGGUUCUACUGUUUUUAGUGAUGCAGUUGUCGCUUCCUCUUCCUUGUCAGAUGAUGAUAUCACUAAACUUUGGCAUAUGCACCUAGGGCAUAUGAGUGAGAAUGGCAUGGCAGAAUUGAGCAAAAGAGGACUUCUUGAUGGGUAAGAAAUUUGCAAAUUGAAGUUUUGUGAGCAUUGUGUUUUUGGGAAGUAAAAGAGAGUUUGAUUCACCAGAGGAAUCCAUAACACGAAGGGAACAUUAGAGUAUAUUCAUUCUGAACUAUAGGGGCCAUCUAGAGUGCCUUCGAGAGGUGGAGCUAAUUAUAUGCUAACUUUUAUUGAUGAUUUUUCCAGAAAAGUUUGGGCGUUCUUCCUGAAGUAGAAAAGCGAUGUGUUUUCUGCAUUUAAGUCUUGGAAAAUUAUGAUUGAAAAACAGACAGGAAAACAAAUAAAAUACCUCCGUACAGACAAUGGCUUAGAGUUCUGUUCUGAUGAGUUUAUAGACUAUGUAAAUCAGAAAAGAUCGUGAGACACUUGAUAGUUCGUCAUACUUCACAGCAAAACGGCAUUACAGAAUGAAUGAACAGAAUGAUCAUGGAGAAGGUUUGAUAAAUGUUGUCAAAUGCCAACUUACCAAAAUUGUUUUGGGCAGAAGCAGCCUCUACUGCAUGUUUUUUAAUCAACCGAUCUCCAUAUGUUGCCAUUGAGAAAAAGACUCCACAAGAGGUAUGGUCUGGUAAUCCUGCUAAUUAUUCUGAUUUAAAGAUCUUUGGCUAUCCUGCGUAUGCUCAUGUUGAUAAUGGAAAAUUAGAAUCGAGAUCUAUUAAAUGUGUUUUUCUUGGUUAUAAAGCUGGUGUAAAGGGGUAUAAGUUAUGGUGUCCUGAAAAUAGAAAUGUUGUGAGUAAUAGAGAUUUUUUUUAUGAAACUGCUAUGCUACCUAACUUAUCUCUUAAAGGUUCUUCCAAUAAAGAAAAUCAAAAGCAGGUAGAGCAUCAAAUUAAUGCAGAGUUAACUCCUCAAGCCAGUAUAAAAAUUGAGAAUAGAGUUGCUUCUUCACCACAAUACUCUAUCGCCAAAAACAAAGCUAGAAGAGAAAUUAAACCUCCAAAGAAGUAUGCCGAGGCUAAUCUAGUUGCUUAUGCUUUAAAUGUGGCUGAAGAUAUAGAUGCAAACCAAGAGCCAUCUAAUUAUUCUGAGGCGGUUAGCUAUGAAGACUCAGAAAAAUGGAUGUUUGCUAUGCAAGAGGAGAUGGAAUCACUCCAGAAAAACAGAACAUGGGAUCUUGUGAAACUUCCUAAAGAUAAAAAUGUUGUUCAUUGUAAAUAGGUGUUUAAAAAGAAAGAAGGGACUCUAAGAGUUGAAGAACCAGAUAUAAAGCAAGACUUGUUGCAAAAGGUUACAGUCAAAUUCCAGGAGGGGACUUCACAGAUGUGUUCUCCCCAGUUGUGAAGCAUAGUUCGAUCCGAGCUUUGCUUGGUAUUGUAGCCGUGCAUGAUUUGGAGCUUGAGCAGUUAGAUGUAAAAACUACAUUUUUGCAUAGAGAACUUGAGGAAGAUAUUUACAUGCAACAACCAGAGGGUUUUAUAGUCUCAGAAAAAAGAGGACUAUGUUUGCUUGCUGAAAAAGUUCCUUUACGGUUUGAAACAGUCAUCAAGACAUUGGUAUAAGAGGUUUGAUUCCUUUAUGAGUUCUCAUGAUUUCAAAAGAAGUAGUUUUGACAAUUGUGUUUAUUUUAAGAAAACACUGAUGGUUCUUUUGUGUAUCUACUUCUUUAUGUUGAUGACAUGUUGAUAGCAGUAAAAGAUAAAGGAGAGAUAAGAAAGGUCAAAGCCCAACUAAGUGAAGAAUUUGAGAUGAAAGAUUUGGGACCAGUAAAGAAGAUACUUGGUAUGGAGAUUCUCAGAGAUAGAAAAGUAAGUAAAUUGUACUUAAGUCAGAAAGGGUACAUUGAGAAAGUUCUUUGCAGGUUCAAUAUGCAGAGUGCUAAGCCUGUUAGUACUCCUUUAACAGCCCAUUUCAGGCUUUCAUCGGCUUUGUCUCUACAAUCAGAUGAUGAGAUUGAGUACAUGUCACAUGUUCUAUACUCUAGUGCAGUGAGAUCUCUUAUGUAUGCUAUGGUUUGUUCACGUCUAGAUUUAUCAUAUGCAGUCAGUGCAGUUAGCAGAUACAUGGCGAAUCCCAGUAAAGAACAUUGGAAAGCAGCUCAGUGGAUUUUAAGAUACUUAAGAGGUACUACUGAUGUUUGCUUACAGUUUGGAAGAACUAGAGAUAGAGUCAUUGGGUAUGUUGAUGCUGAUUUUGCUGGAGACCUUGAUAGAAGAAGAUUUCUCACAGGUUAUGUCUUUACAAUUGGAGGUUGUGCAAUCAGUUAGAAAGCCACUUUGCAAACUACAGUCGCUUUGUCUACCACUGAAGCUGAGUACAUGGCAAUUACUAAGGCUUGUAAAGAAGCUAUUUGGUUGAAGGGAUUCUUUAGUGAACUCUAUGAAGACAUUCAAAUCAGCACAGUAUUUUGUGAUAGUCAGAGUGCCAUCUUUCUUACAAAAGAUCAAAUGUUUUAUGAGAGAACAAAACACAUUGAUGUUCGGUAUCAUUUUGUUCAUGAUAUUAUUGCUCGUGGUGAUAUUGUUAUGAGCAAAAUUAGUACUCAUGAAAAUCCUACAGAUAUGAUGACUAAGUCACUUCUUAUAUCCAAGUUUGAGAAUUGCUUAGAUUUGGUUGGUGUUCAUUGUUGAAGUUAAAACCUUAAGGGGUUUUAUGGAAAAGGUGGAGAACUUGUUCAUUGAGAGUUCGCUAUGAAGAGCUUGUUCAUUGAGAAUUCAUGUCAAGGUGGAGAUUGUUAGAAUUAAGUGACCUGAAUCCUUAUUUAAAUAAAAUACAGUGGUAAAAUAAAAUAAAAAAAAAUUCAUAUAGAACUAAACUUCUUUUAUUUUAUUUUAGAAUAAGGUUUUUUAAACCUUAUUAAAUUCCAUCUAUUUUAUAUUGAUUAGAAUAAGGUGUUUCAAUAUUACUACACUCCUAUUAGAAUAUGGCUUUACAAGCCUAUAAAUAGACAUAGUCUAUUCCUCUUGUAAUCAUUCAAAUUCGACAUAGUGAAUUUUCUUCUCCUCUGCUCAUGGUUUUUUUCCCGAAAAGAUUUCUACGUAAAAUCUGUGUGUUCUUUAUUUUAUUUCUCUUUUCUUUGCGAUAUAUAUUGUUAUUACCAACAUUCUAUUUUAUUUUCACAGAUUCAAUGUCAAUAAAAUAAAAUUGUAUAUGACUUUUGAAGUUCAAGGAUAAUCCAAAAGGUUUCUUAAGAAAUCGAAAAGCUUUCUGUUUCAAUCGAUUCAGUAACCGAUGGAAAACAUUUAUUUAUUUUUUAUUUUUUUAUUUUAAGAAAUGAUGAUUUUAAUCCUUUUUUACAAAGGGUUGGAUCAAUAUGGGUCAAAGGGGACUUGAGUUGCUUGCACGUUGUCAUGUCAGCAAAAUCUUAACGCUGUUAGGCUCAAGUAAUAAAUUAGUGGAUAGAAAAAAAGUUUAGAUACCGAUCUAAAAAAAGUGGACAAGUUCGAAUUCUAUAUUUAACCCAUUUAUUAAUAGAUAUCCACACCUUUAGGAUCAUAACUAUGAUGUACCUAAUGAUGAAGAUUUUGAUAUGAUUUAUUAUUAGUGUUGGAAGCGUAGUAAUAAAAAACUCAAAUACUAAUUUUUAUUACACACAAAUAAAAUACAAUACAAACUCUCUUUUAUUUUUUUCUCUCUAUACUAGCUGCUGCUAGUUUUUCUUUUCUAUACUCACAACGCCUUUUUUUGCUCUCAAACUCUAGCUAAUUUUUCAGCACUCACAACACAUGAACUAUACGUACAUAUAUAUAGACAUAGUCUAGUUACCUUAAUGAUUGCUUAUCCCUUAAGUAUAUCAUAAAUGAUAAUGCUUAUCUAUUAUAUGCCUUGCCAUGUUGAACUUUUCAAUGUUGCUACCAUCUUGAUUUUUCAUGAAGUUUCCAACAUGAUAAGCUUUAUCCAAUUUGCAAAGUUGUAUCCAAUUUGAAAACCAAGUUGUAUGAGGUAGAAGCCAAUUUGGAUACAAACUCUUUGGUUGUAAUUUUUGACUUUGAAAAUUUGGUUUGAUUUCUAACACUCUCUCUCAAACCAAACUUUUCAUUCCAAGCUUUUCUUUGAAUUUAUGGAAUAUGUCCGCUUUCAAUAGCUUCAUAAAAAUGUCUGCCAGUUAAUCUUCUGUUCUGCAGUAAACUAACUCCACAUUUUUAUUUUUCACUUGCUCUCGAAUAAAAUGAUACUUGGUAUUGAUAUGCUUACUUCGACUAUGAGACACUGGAUUCUUUGCAAGAGAUAUUGUGGACUUGUUGUCAAUAUAAAUUGUAAUUGGACCUUCUUGUAUAAUAUAUAAUUCACCCAAAAUAUUCUUCAACCCAAUUGCUUGACAUGUACAUGUUGCAACAGCCAUUUAUUCUGCUUCACAUGUUGAAAGGGCUACUGUUUGUUGCUUUUUCGAUGACCAUGAAAAUGCUGCGGAGCCAAAAUGGAAUAAAUAUCCGGAUGUGCUUUUGCGAUCAUCCAAAUCACCACCAUAAUCACUAUCUGAAUAACCAACCAAUUUUGAACUCUGUGAUUAUGUAUAAAAUAAACACUAAUCCACCGUACCUUUGAUGUAUCUCAAAAUUCUCUUUGCUGCAAUCAAGUGAUCUUGUUUUGGCUUCUCCAUGUAUUGCUAACUAUUCCCACUGCGUACAUAAUGUCUGGCCGCGUGAUAGCCAAGUACCUUAAACUUUUGAUGAUACUUUUAAACAACGUUGGAUUUAUUGGCUCUCUAAAUGAAUCAACACUUAAUUUCGUGCCUGGUCCUGCUGGUAUGGCUACUGGCUUGCAAUCUUUCAUAUUGAAUUUUCUUAAAAUUUGUUCCGCAUACUUCUUUUGAGACACAAAUGUUCCAUUUUUCAUUUGUUUCACUUCGACUCCAAUAGAGUAUGACAUUUCACAUAUAUCUGUCAUUUCAAAUUCCUUAGUCAUAGCUUUCUUUAGCCAUAGCUUUCUUAAAGUCAUUGAGCAUACCUGGAUUGUUUCCCAUGAAAAUCAUAUCAUCCACAUAUAAGCACACGAUCAUGAUGUCACCAACUUCAUUUUUCUUCAUAUAUAGAGCAUGCUCGUAUGGGCUUUUCAUGAACCCGUUCUUCUGAAAGUAUUCAUCUAUUCUUGUGUUCCAUGCUCUCGAAGCCUGCUUCAGUCCAUAUAAAGCUUUCUACAAGCGAUAAACUUUAUCUUCUUGUCCUUGUUUGUAAUAUCCAGAUGGUUGUUCAAUGUAGACUUCUUCUUCCAGGUAGCCAUUAAGGAAUGCUGACUUCACAUCCAUCUGAUAAAUUUUCCAUUUAUUUUGUGCUGCAAUUGCCAUGAGAAGCCUUAUAGUAUCAAUUCUGGCGACUGGAGCAAAUACUUCAUCAUAGUCUACACCAUAUCUUUGCUUGUAGCCUUUUGCAACUAGUCUUGCUUUGUAUUUCUCCACUUUUCCUUCUUUGUUGUCUUCGUCUUGUACACCCAUUUGACUCCAAUUGGACUAUGUCCUUCUGGUAGACUUGUUAGCUCCCAUGUGUCAUUUCUUCUUAUUGCUGCAAUUUCUUCAUCCAUUGCCUUCUUGCAUCUGACAUCUUUAAUUGCAUCUUCAUAUAGUAUUGGAUCACAUUCUGCCAUUAAACAAAAUAAUGAAUAAUUGAGUACUGUUUCUAUGGGUUCUGUAACCUCAUAAAUAUCACGUAAACUGUGCAUUCUUGCAGGUGCUUCCUCUGAGUUGCUAGUAUUGCUGCUAGUUGGUGAUGAUGAUGUUGUAGGAGUUGUUGCAACAGGACUUAGAGGAGGGCUCUGGUCGUUGCCUUGUUCUUGAUUAAUGAAGUCGUCGUCUUUGUCAUCACUGAAAAAUAAUCCUUCAGUUUUCUUUUCUUCUUUACUCCAUCUCCAAUAAUCAGCUUCAUCGAAUUAAACAUCUCUUGAAAUAAUAACUUUCUAAGUAAGAGGGUUGUAUAACCUAUAUGCCUUGCUUCUCUUUUCAUAACCAAUGAAAAUACAUUUUACUCCUUUAUCGUCAAGCUUCUUUCUCGUCUAGUCAGGAACAUGAGCAUAUGCGAUGCAUCCAAAAAUCUUGAGAUGUCCGACUCCUGGCUUUUGAUUGCUCCAAGCUUCAUUUGGCGUCUUGUAUUUCACACUUUUUGUUGGACACCGGUUCAACAAAUAAACAGCACAUUGAACAGCUUCAGCCCAGAAAGUUCUUGGUAAAUGCUUACCUUUAACCAUGCUUCUUGCCAUAUCAAGAAUAGUGCGGUCCUUUCUUUCAGUGACUCUGUUUUGUUGUGGCGUGUACGCAAUUGUCAAUUGGUGAAUAAUUCCGUGUUCCUUGUGGAAGCUUUCGAAUAGCUUUGAAGUAUACUCACCACCUCUAUCAGUUCUGAGUAUUUUAAUGAAAUGCCCACUCUGUUUUUCUACCAUGGCUUUGAACUCAAUAAACUUUUCAAAUGCUUCUGAUUUUAUUUUAAGAGAUAUAUCCAACUUUUUCUACUAAAAUCAUCAAUAAAAGUAAUAUAGUACCUAUUUCCACCAAGUGAUGGUAUAUCAAAAGGAACUACUAUAUCGGAGUGUACUAUCUCCAAUUGUCUCCUGGCUCGUCGAGUUUUUCCCGCUUCAAAACUCUGUCUGUGUUGUUUUCCUUUAAUGCAGGCUUCACAUAAUUGAUCAGGAGGAUUAAUUUCUAGCAACCCAUUCACCAUAUUUUCUUUUGACAAUAACUUUAGACCGGAAAAAACAAGAUGACCGAACCUUAAAUGCCACAACCAUGAUUCAUCUUUAUUGUAUUCUUCAUGCAUUUCACCUCUCCAGAUUCAAUGUCAAUAGUAAACAGACGGUUACGCGUCAUAUCAACUUGGGCAAUUAAUUCACCACUCUUAUUUUUUAAAGAAAGCGUGGAAUCCUUCAUAUGUACUUCAUAUCCUUUUUCUAGAAGCUGUCCAAGGCUAAUGAUGUUGCUUUUCAAAGCUGGUACGUAAUAAACAUCUGAAAUGAACUUCUUUUCUCCAUUCUUUUGUGUAAUAGUGACUUUGCCUUUGCUUUGACCGUGGCAUACAAUUCAUCUCCAAAUGUUACUUAUUCAUGAAUAUUCUCAUUCAAUUCUGAAAAUAAGUCUUUUCGGCCACACAUAUGAUUGCUGGCACAAUUAUCAAGAUACCAAAUAUUUUUUCUUGAUUUUUCACUUUCUUUAUAAGUGAGGAAUACACUAGAUUCCACGUUUUCUUCUUCUUUAGCUGCUGCUAAAUGAUUUCUCUCCUCCAUCUUGGGAUUUGAUCUACACUCAUAACUAUAAUGGCCAUAUUUAUUGUAAUUAUAACAUUGUACCUGAGAUUUAUUUCCUUGUUGAAAUCUACCUCUGCCUCGGCCUAGGCCUCGAGCUCCUUGUCCAUGACUCGAUGUUUGAUAUUCGUCUUGUUUGGACUUUACCAUAUGAUUGAUUUCCUCAUCCACAUGUUCCUCGUCCACCUUUAUUUCUGCCUCUAUAUCCUCCACGGUAUCCUCCACGAUUGCUCAUACCUUGUCCAAAAUUAUCCCUAGCUCCACCUUCAUUGAAGGACAACUUGCUUUGCAAGACUUGGUCCAAAUUUCCAGUAUCAUCAUUUUGCUUCAUUUUAUGCUCAUGGGCUUGGAGAGAACCCACAAGUUCGUCGAUUGAUAUUUAGACAAAUCUUUUGACUCUUCAAUGGCAACCACCACAUAAUCAAAUUUGCGUGUCAAUGACCGCAAAAUUUUUUCCAUUACUCUAACAUCAUCAAGUGUUUCUCCAUUCCUUUUCAUUUCAUUUACCACCGCUUUCACUCGGAUGACAUAACCAUCAACGUUUUCUGAAGGUUUCAUUUUCAACGUUUCAAAUUCGGCUCUAAGGGUUUGUAAACGUACCUUUUUGGCUUUUUUCGCUCAUUGAAUGGAUUUUUGCAAAAUUCCCCGUGCUUCCUUUGAUGUCUUCGCAUCUGAAAUUUUUUCAAAGGUUGAUUCAUCAACACCUUGAAAAAUAAAAAACAACACCCUCUUAUCCUUUUUACGAGCUUCUUUCAAUACUCUUUUUUCUUCAUUUGUCAAAGCCACUUCGGUAGCUGCAUUUUUGGGCUCGACAUAUCCUUCUUUGACAACGUCCCAACAAUCUUGAGAACCGAGCAAAGCCUUCAUCUGGAUGCUCCAGUUGCUAUAAUUUGUCUUUGUUAAUUUCAGGAUCUGUGGUUGAAUCAUGUUUGCUAUUAUGACGUCAACACGAACCUGGCUCUGAUACCACUUGUUGGAAACGUAGUAAUAAAAAACUCAAAUACUAAAUUUUAUUACACAAAUAAAAUACAAUACAAACUCUCUUUUAUUUUUUUCUCUCUAUACUAGCUGCUACUAGUUUUUCUUUCUAUACUCACAACACCUUUUUUUGCUUUCAAACUCUAGCUAAUAUUUCAGCACUCACAACACAUGAACUAUACAUACAUAUAUAUAGACAUAGUCUAGUUACCUUAAUGAUUUGUUAUCCCUUAAGUAUAUCAUAAAUGAUAAUGCUUAUCCAUUAUAUGCCUUGCCUUGUUGAACUUUUCAAUGUUGCUACCAUCUUGAUUUUUCAUGAAGUUUCCAACAUGAUAAGCUUUAUCCAAUUUGUAAAGUUGCAUCCAAUUUGAAAACCAAGUUGUAUAAGGUGGAAGCCAAUUUGGAUACAAACUCUUUGGUUGUAAUUUUUGACUUUGAAAAUUUGGUUUGAUUUCUAACAAUUAGAAUUCUGAUGUAAGUUAAUCUAGAAAUUAAAAGGUGUUGUAAACAAUGCAUGUUUCUCUUCUUCUCCUAUUAUUAUUGUAGAAUCGUUCAUCAUUUGUGGAUUUGGCAUAUCUCUCCUACUUUACAUCUUAUAACUCUUCCCAUAUAAGAGACAGGACGCUAACGCCACUGCCAUUAGGACUGUUUUUCUUUUCCCUUUUAUUAACUAGCCAACAACAAAUGAGUUUUAAUCUUUGUGUGUAAACCAAAUAGCUCAAAGUCCUUAACAAAAAGGGGGGGGGGAGCUCAAAGUUAUGGAAAUGCUUUGAAAUAUGCGAGGAUCCCAACCAAAGGCGCGUUAAUAUAGGUGGUUGGCUCUGAUUCACCAGCAUUCGUCCGGUUAUCAGGAAACUGAUCCUUCAUAUCUGGUCCUCCAAUAAUAGCUCCUGUGAGCAAGUUGGGAUUUGGUUUUAGGGUUUCAUAGUAAGGGCUUCCGUCUUUGCAAUUGAUGUGCCUUGGAUGUGCACCUAUGGAAGGUAAAGAGGAAGCCCGAUGAUGUAUUCUCUUCGGAAACUUUUGACUAAAUCCCCAGUGGGUUCUUUCCCAGUAUGUAAUCUACCUGCAUCAAUCAAAUAUUUGUGCAAGCUUAUAAUGUUUCGAUUUAGAUGGGAUCCUGUUCAGAGUUCAUAGGACUGUAAAUGAAUAUUGUCUGUUUCUAAAGAACCUAAUGUUCAUGUCAACUUACCUGGCCUUUUUCGAUUUGCUCGAACCUGGAUAGUGCUGCAACAAAAGUGCCACAAUUUACUGAUCCAUCAUGUUUUUUCAGAUACUGAGCGUAAACAAGAAGAAGAAACGAAAGGGCAGUGGCGUGUUGCAUGUUGCUUCACCGGCUUUGAACAAAAGCCCACCUAUCAUUAGUUUGUUCAUUUUACAAAUCAUAGUCGUAUGAUUUAAGGUGUAAGGUUCAAAGUUCAAUUUAAGUUGAAAUUAAGCAGGCAACCUGGAGAGUAUGUGACAGACUUGUAAGGUGAUUCAGGCAAGACGCUGCACACGAACCUGUCGGCUUGGGGAACAUAGGGUUCGGCACUAGUGGAAUUCAUUACCAACUGCAAAGCACAACCAAAACCAAAUUCUAGAAUAUCAUAUAUGUUAUAAAUUCGUUUAUGAUUGAAAAUCAAAUUGAAGAAGAGAUAAUUAGAUUAUCAGUGUUAUUUACCCCGGAAACAAGUACAUUAAUACCGGCAUCCUUUGUAUCCCAUCCGAAUUCAGCAAAAUUUUUAGCAGCUUGUAAAUCACCAUUUACAAGCCUUAUAACUCGUCUUGGUAGAUUUGGAAUGUUGUUUUGAACCUAAUCCCAGUACUUUUGUUCCUUUGUCACCUUAAACAACCAUGCUGUUCCCCAAAUCAGUUCAUCCUGCACAAAAUAAUAAUUUUAAAUUUGAGCUAUAGCAAUGGUAGUAAUUCAUUUAAAUCUCCGAAAUCUAUAUAUUAAAUUUCUGGAUGCCCUACCAUGUAGCUAUAGCUACCCCAAUCACAAUAAAAUGGGCACACUCCUUGGCCAACACUGUCUUUGUAGUUUCCCCGAACCUUAUCGGCAAAUUCAAAGACCUAACAAUCCACACCAAGAAAAAGAAAACAGUAAAGAGUUGCUUGGAAAAAGAAAGAAGAUAGUUUUAAUUGCUUACCUCCUUUGCUCUAUUGACAAGUAGUAUAGAGUAUCUGUGGUGAGCGGAUUUGAACACCAAAGGUGCAGCAGCAGUCUCAGCAGAAACUUCAGAGCCUGGGUGGGUUUGAUUCACCACGUAACUGGUUCUUGGAGUAUCCAUGUCUUCAGGCCUUUCCCAACAAUUGUGAUCGGCAAUAGGGUUACCAACGGCGGCAGUGACUUUACCAGGGAGGUCGGUGGACUUAAGCAAGUAGUCUGCACCCCAACGAAUGGAGUCUUGUGCAUGUUGCAGGUCUGGACCCAUAAAUUGGCCGAAUUCGAUUACACUCCAUGCUAGCAUUGUGGUUGAGAAAGCCAUUGGAAAAUUGAAUUUUACGUUAUCUCCGGCAUCGUAAUAGCCGCCUAAUAAAUCCAUCUGAAAAUCAAUCAUGCUUUUAAUGUUAUAUAUGUAAAUAUAAAAAAGUAAUAGAUAGUAGCAUAGAAAUAGAGAAAGACGUACACCAAGGUCAGAGCCAUCACGAAGAGUAGAAUCCUUUCUCCAAAUCAUUCUCUGAUUAGAUGGCAGCUUUCCUGUCCUCUGGCCUUCGAAGAAUAAAAUGCACUUUGACAGUGCAUCACCAUAGUUUUGGGAACCAACUUUGUCUACUAUCACCAUGCCUAAUACAGCUAACAACGUUAGCAGAGUCAUACAUUUACCACUGCCCAUUGCUCUCUCCCUCAAAUUAAACCUAAUUCCUUCACUCUAUUUUCCGAUACACUCUAUUCUUUCACUGUGCAAUACUAGUAAGAACACAAAGUUCUUGCUUGAAAAGACACAUUGAUAUUAUAAAAAUAUAAAUACAUAUAUGGCUAUGACAUUUCAAACAUUAGCUGUCUGGUUUCAGUUACGUUCUCGUUUUUAAUCUUUACAAUACAAAAGGGUUAAAAGGCUAAAUUCAUGCCCUCUAUAACAAAGCUUAUCUUUGUCAAUCUACUUGUCAAACACCAUUAACACACCCUGGUUAUAUAGUUAAGUUUGAGUCAUGAAACUACAGAAAAUCUGGGUUUCUUGUGUCAUUUUGCAAUUUUCUUUUAUUUUUUAAUUGGUCAAUCCUCUUUUAAAUAUUAAAACGGUAAGAUUUUAAUUAUGAUAUUAUCUUCAUAUUAAACACCGUAUAAUUAAGUCAAAUGUGAAUUUAUUAUAUUAAAAACCAUGUAGUUAAUAUUUGAACAUUUUAAUUAGAUUGAUUAUCAUUGGAACUCAGGAUUGAACCUCCGUUUUGAUAAAUUUUUAUUCAUCUCUAUCUUUCACAUACCGGUGCAGUACUCAUUAUUUGAUAUGGAGGUAUAAAUUUUGGUAUCCUCCGCUCCAUUGUCUUUUCUGUUUUAUCAUGUUGCCAAGUUUGCAUGAAUAUAGAUGGUAACAUUUUCCUUCUUCAAUUAGUAUCAACUUAAAUGAAUUCCCAAUUUAAGUCAAGCAUAUGUGUUAAUUGCAGCUAGGACUUGUUUAUAAUGCUUAAUAACUGCCUUGAAAAUUAAUUAAUUCCAUUUUUUUUCGAAAAAUGAACGAGAAUUUAUUAUAAACGAAAUUAAAGCAUUGUUCCAAACAUACUAUGUUCCUGCAUAUUACACACUAACAAGGAGUUUAGGCAACUAGGUGAAGACCUACACAAGAAAAAAAACUUUGAAAGCCUCAUACCUGAUUAACAAACAUGGAAUUCAUCUCAGACCAAAUGGCUUCAAGCCAUUUCCAAGAGUCUAGGCCUGCCAUCGUUUCUUGAUAACUUCUAGGUUCAUUUUGAUCCAUAAAUACAACAUCUUCAUGCUUUAUAAUAAGAAAUCCAUAUCUCUGGUUAAAUGAUAUUUUCUAGUUAUCGAAUUUCUUCAGGUUCAAUCUUCCUCCCACUUCCUUUUCUAGAGACAAAUUCUCUUUCAAAAAAGACACUUGUGAUAGCAAUAAACAAUUCAUAUAUUCUUCAUGUAUAAUUGUACUCUUGAAUCUAAACUUUGAUUUUUAUAAAUAAAAAAAUUAUCUUGUUUAAUUAAUUUUAAAAUUUUAUUAGAAUAAUAAAAUUUCUAAAUUACCAAUCAGGCCUAAAUAAAAAAAAUUAAUAUACUUUUAAAAAUCUUCUCGAUCAAAAAAAAAAAAAGUAGUAAAUAAUGGUAGAUUGGAUACAUGUAGGAGACAUUGAUGUCUUCGUAGCUAACAGGUAGAUAAUAGACGUGAGUGAAGAACUUUUUGUUUUAAAUGAUAGUAAUAGUUGAUUCGGAAAAGCUACAUAUCGGUACGUGGUCCUUGAUGAUUGAGAAGGAUGGUUAAAAGGGAAUUCUAUUACUCAUACGUUUUCCUCUUUUUUGGAGAUGUAAUUCCCAUAAAAAAUCAUUCAGCAUCCUAAUUAGUUUGGCGCCAUUGAUCAUACCCUAACUGGCGAUUUUGAAGCAAUCCUUCCCCGUUUGCUUCAAUUACUUGUUUGUCAGCUUGAUCAAUAUUAUUUCUGACUUUUGAGUUUUGACAUUAGUGCUUUUCCAUGGAUUUAAGAUUUGACAAUGGAACAAUUACCAAUUCAAAACAUGAACUAAUUAAAUAAACCUAUAUCCUUUCCUGUUUCUUUUAAAUUUCAUAGAUUAAAUUGUAAAGUGAACGGUUUGCUUAACCUAUAAUUUACAAAGCCACAUGGUUCCUCCAGCUUUUGGGGUUGUCUAAACACGAGUGGUGGAAGAAUAAUGGUUAUUUCUUUCAAGGCACUGUUGCUUCCAUCCUACAUGAGCUCAAUAUACUCAACAAACUAAGACCGCCCCCAUAUGCAUAACAGAUAUUUAAGAUAAAAGAUUACUGAUUUGUACCUCUUUUUGUAAGGAACAUGUUUGCUUAACAGCUAUGAUUUGCAUUUUAAUUGACAAUAUAAUCAUUCGUCCGUUGGCAACGGAAAUCAAAAAGAUAGAUAAUCAAGUUCAAAAGUAGAAUAUAUUAUAACAAAGGGAUAUGUAAAAUGUAAGUGCAAAAAUUCUUUGAAUUAAGCAAGCUGAGAAGUUUGAAGCAAUAUUUGGAUGAAAUUGUGACAGGUCAUAAAGUUAGUGUGAUUUUAGUUUAUCUGACAUGAUGCAAGGCAAAGUAGGAAGUCCAUGCAUCCCAAUUUUCUUCUUAGAAUUAAAGGUUUAUUAUAACUUUUCCUUAAGUCAGUGUUAUUUUACAGUUUACGUAAAGAAUGCUAAUAUAUAAAAUAUAAUGUCGUAAUUUAAUACUAUUACUACAUAAUAAGCAAGCGCCUUAGUGAAUCUUCUUUGUAUCUUGCAUUCGCAAUUAUUAUGUCAUUUUCUUUUAUUUGCAAACAAUCCAGUCUUUCAGCUCAUGUCCAUUUUCUCCUACUUAAACAUAUCUACGGCCCUUACAUACGUACUCAACAACCAGAUCAAAGAAAAACCAAAAAAAAAAAACUCACCAAUAUUGGCCAUGGAGAUCAAGAUAUUGUUAGUCUUUUUCGUAUCACUCUCUUCAAUGUUAUCCACUACACUUUCUAGGAGUACGAGAAGCAAUAUAACAUGGUGGUGCAACCAAACUCCUCACCCUGAACCAUGCUUAUAUUUGAUGAGCCACGGCAGCCGUCGUUUUGCUCCCAAACACAUGUCUCAAUUUCGGAAGAUAAUGGUUCAACUGGCCUUUGAUCGAGCCGUUAUGACGGGAAAGAAAGUCAACGAGUUUGGACAGAGCUGUGAGAAUUGGAAGCAGAAGGCAGCAUGGAGAGAUUGUCUCAAGCUCUUCGAUAAUACCAUUCUUCAACUCAACACUACUUUACGAGGCCUAGAGAGCAGGAGGAGGAUGGGCUGCAAUGACUUCGAUGCACAAACAUGGCUUAGCACAGCACUGACCAAUAUCCAAACAUGCGAAGCUGGGUUCAUGGAUUUCAAUGUUUCUGAUUUUUUCACUCCCUCUUCAUCCAAUAACAUAUCCCAGAUGAUUAGCAAUAGUUUAGCUGUUAAUGGGAUUUUCUUGCGUAAGAGAAACCUUACACAAGUUUUUCCUGGUUGGCUCUCCAGGCACCAUAAGCGCCUAUUGCUAUCUUCAACCAAGGCACAUAUUGUGGUGGCCAAAGAUGGGUCGGGAAAUUUUAGGACCGUUCAAGCUGCUCUAGAUGCUGCCGCAAAGAGGAAAAGGUAUACCAGGUUUAUCAUACAUGUGAAAAGAGGUGUUUAUCGGGAGAAUAUUGAGGUUUCCAGCGCUAACCGUAACGUUAUGCUGGUUGGUGACGGUAUGAAACGUACAAUAAUCACCAGUAGCCGGAGCGCUAAAACAGGUUACACUACCUACAGCUCUGCAACUGCUGGUACAACUUUGUUCUCCUUCUCUUUCUUACUUGAAAAGUGCAUAGUUGUUCUUUUAGCGCCAUAUGAUCUCUCUUUUGACGAUUAACCUUUUGAGUGUAGGGAUCGAUGGCCCUGGAUUCAUUGCUCGGGACAUAACAUUCAGUAACACAGCAGGUCCAACAAAAGGCCAAGCAGUUGCUCUCCGUUCGGCAUCAGAUCUCUCAGUCUUCUACAGAUGUGCCAUCGUGGGAUAUCAAGACACCCUCAUGGUACAUUCACAGCGGCAAUUCUACCGAGAAUGUUAUAUCUAUGGCACUGUAGACAUCAUCUUUGGCAAUGCAGCAGUAGUCUUGCAAAGCUGCUCAAUCUUUGCUAGAAGGCCCCUAAAAGGACAGGCAAACAUAAUCACUGCACAAGGCCGUGGUGACCCUUACCAAACCACCGGGAUCGCAAUCCAUAAUUCGAGAAUCUUAGCUGCAAAUGAUCUUAAACCAGUGGUUCAUGCAUUCAACACAUACUUAGGGAGGCCAUGGCAGCAGUAUUCUCGAACAGUUGUCCUCAAAACUUAUCUUGACAGCUUAGUUAGUCCUGCAGGAUGGUCGAAAUGGGGCAAUUCUGAAUUUGCUCUUGGUACAUUGUAUUAUGGGGAGUACAAGAAUUAUGGACCGUCUUCUUCAACUAAAUGGAGGGUCAAAUGGCCUGGCUUUCAUGUGAUAACUAGCGCAAGUGUGGCAUCACGUUUCACGGUUAAUAGCCUUAUUGCUGGCAGGACAUGGUUACCCACCACUGGUGUACCAUUCACUGCUGGCCUCUGAGUGUGUCCUAUACACGUACGGGGGAGAUUUAGCAUUAUUCAUUAUAUUCAUAUUUAUUAUUUGAUUUGAUUUUUGUUCAUUGUGAAUACAUUCUUAAUUAUGAACAAUAAAUUGUAUUUGAUUUUUUUUCUAUACCAUAAUAUAUUGACAUGUGAAUCUACGAAAUUAACUAUACUAAAUUCGGCACUCUAAUCAAUUUCAAACAGGUGGAAUUUGUCUCCACUAAAAUUAGGAAAAAUAGAGUUUUUUCUUAGUUUAAAUUUUUAAUAUUCCAUUUUAUAAAAAGAUUUUAAUUUUUCAAAUAAGAUAGAAGUACUAUGAUAUAAUUGGAUUCCACUCUGCUGUUAUUUCCUUAAAUAGUAUCAUUAUUUUCAUGCAAUAGCAAUCGAAACAAGUUCAACCAUUGGAAUUAAAAAAAAAAUCAUGCAACUUGAAAUUGGGGAGAGAGAAGGAUCAGAAUCUAAAAUUAAGAAAAGAAAAAGGAAAAUAUUAAAUAAGGAAAAUGGAAAAAGAAGAAAAGAAAAGGGGUACCAUAAAAAAUUGAAUAAUUUUUUUUUCUUUGAAUUUGAUUAUAUUAUGGUAUAGGUGGCAGGUUACACCAUACAGACGUGAAAAUAAUCUUUCUAAAUGAAAAUCUUGAAAAAGUUUAUAUGGAUAAACAUGAAGAUUUUACAGUUGAAGGAAAAUGUUAUAUGAUGCGUAAAUUUAAGAAGCCAAGACUUAAACAAACUUCACGGCAAUGGUACAUCAAGUUUAAUGAUAAUAUAAAAUCUUUUGAUUUUUAAGAAAACAUCAUUGAUCAGUGUUUAUACCAAAAGAUAAGUGGGAGUAAGUUUAUUUUCUUAGUUUAUAUGUUGACAAUAUUUUGCUUGUUGUAAAUGACUUUGGUAUAUUGCACGAGACGAAAGUUUUUCUCUCAAAUAAAUUUGAAAUAAAAUAUAUGGGAGAGGCAUCCUAUGUGAUAGGAAUUGAAAUAUUACGUAAUAGAUCACAAGCUUUGUUGGGAUUGUUUUAGAAAAAUUAUAUCGAAAAAGAUUUAGAGAGAUUUAAUAUGCAUAAUUGUUCAAAGGAGAUUGUUCCUAUAUAAUAGAAUGGACAAAUUUAAUCUCACGUAGUGUCCAAAGAAUAAUGUAGAAUGAAAAAGAAUAAACCAAUUCCUUAUGACUAUAUUGUGGACAAUUUGAGUAAAGAAUUGCAUGCCCAUGUAUAAUAAAACCAAUUGGUGGAAAGUGAUUGGAUAUUUGGAUUUAGAUUGUAACGACCCGGAUUUUAGUGGUACUGGAAAGUGUGGUUUCGGGACUCUAUAAAUUGAAUUCAUAAAUAUUUUUAUUAAAUAUUUAAAGAUCUAUAUUAGGAGUGAAUUAAAUUUUAGAUAGAUACUUUCAUUGAAAUAGUAUUUAAUUAGAGUACAAGGACUAAAUUGUGUAAGUAAUCCAAGUAAGAAUUAUUAAGAAAUUACAAUUAGGAUUUAAUAUAUAGGACUUAUAAAGUAAAUAAACUAUUAUAUAUGAUAUAUAUGAGUUACGGGUUAAAACUUAUUAUAUAUAUUUUAUAUUAUAAACUUUAGUUAAAUUAUUGUUAAAAGAAUAAAAUAAAAACAAAAAGAAAUGAAAAGAUGAAAUUAGUGGAUGGAAAGAGAAAUAUUAUUCUCCUUUCAUCCCAAACUUUUCGAAGCAAAAAGAAAAUAGAGAAUGACCCAUGUCAAUAGGGUUUAAAUUUUUUAAACUUCAAUUGGUUAGUUAAUUUAGUACUUUCUUAUAAUAUUUAUGUUUUCGGAAUCUUAUACCCCGAGCUAACUAACUCAUGUUGUAUUUUUCAUUAUUGUUAAAAUUUGAGGUUGUUACCUUAGUUGAAUAUUUAAAGUUUUAUAGACCAAUUUGAUAGAUUUUUAGAUUAGAAGUGAAAAAUGACUAAAUUGCAAAGUUAUUUGAUGAUUUUGUGCAACAGGGACUAAAAUGCACAAAUUGUGAAAAUUAUGUUAGUUCCGAUUUUAAAGACUAAACUGAAUAAAAUGCAAAUGCUGCAUAAAUUAGAAAUUGAAUGAAAAUUUUAAUUUUAUAUUGAUGAAAUGUCUUGUUUUUUAAUCCGUGGCUAAUGUUGACUCGGAUCCUUCGAAAAACAAAGGAAAAUAUAAAGUUGUUGACGAAUAGCUUGGAGUUCACGGUUUGUAUUUCUAUAAUCCAAAAUAUUUAAAUUGUUGUAUAUAAACAUUGCAUCAUAUGGCAAGUUGAUAGGGUGAGUUAGUUCUUUGGAAAUUUGUGUGAAAUGCUAAUUAAAUUGAAUGGAUGUGAUUGAAUGUUUAGUUGUAAAACUAGACUUAAUUUAAUAGUUAUGUAAAUAAUGUACAUUAAAUUAUAUAUUGAACCGAAUUGAUUUAAGAAAUGAACAAUGUUGACAGAUGCGUGAUAAUGGAUUGAUGGAAACUUGGUUUUGGUAUUGAGGAUUUGGUAUGUUGAAUCAAAUCGAGAAACAUGUUACCCUAUUAACUUCUCGGGCAGGGUUGGGUAUAAAUGGCAUGCCAUAGGAUAGGAAGAGUUCUAGGUUAUACGGCUACGUGUCAGGGAGUGCUGGGCAUUCCAUUUGUCAGUUAUACCGACUAGUGUUGGGCACAUUUAUUUGUCGGUCUUAACCGGCCAGCGCAGGGCGCAAUUUAUUGUCACAGAUUUAUCCUUCAGGCACUGAGUAGCAAAUUGGUGUGUUGGUUGGAUCCGCGUAUCCGUCCGAGUCCGAGUCCGAGUCUGAGUCAUUUAAUAGGGAAUUGAAAAUGGAAGCCGGAACCACGAUAGUGGUUAAGGAUGAUUAUGAACUUUGAAUGUAUUCAAUGGUAAAUUUUGAGAUGGAAUAUGCUAUCAUAUGAUCUAAUUAGCAAAUGAUAUAUGAAAUGAAUAUGACAUGUUCUAGUAUUAGUAAAUAUCUGAUAGUUUUGAGAAAUAAAUAAGUGAAUUGGUAUAUGGUAAUGGGUAUAUUGCAUUUUAUUAUUUAUGUUAACUUAUACAUCAUUAUAUGUUAGAUUAGUUAUUAAUAUUCGAAUUAUAGAAAUACCAUUGAGUUACUCAAUGUACAGUUUUGCUUUCCAUGCACAAGUUAGGUACUUGAGGAUUUGAUCGUCGUUUCAACAUUCAACGACAAUAUUGAACUCAAGUGUUAGUGAAUGGUUCUUUUUAGUCUUGGCAUGUACCUAGGAUGUUUAUAUAUUUAAAAUGGUCAUUUUGUGGCUUGUUGAUAUUUGGAGAUUAUGUAUAUAUGUAAUGAAUUUAGUCAUGUUGUUGAUGUAUUGUUUGGUUGCUUGGAUUAUAUGUCUAGUCUCCUUAUAAUUGAGGAAGCACCAUGUUAUAUAAUAUGUUUUGGUUGAUGCUUGGAUAUGGAAUGAUGCCUGACAUGCGUAGGUUAUGUUUAGGUGUUUUUUGGUAGAUUUAAUGCUUGUAAAAUCUGAAAAACAAGGGAGACACGACAGUGUGACUAGACGGUGUCGUAAUUGAAAAAUCGAGGUGCAGGGCAGACACAAUCGUACGGUUAGCUAUGUGGAGGGUCUCAGGCCAUGUGAGAAUCGAAUUCUUAUGGUUUUAGGGGGAACAUGGUUGUGUGAGGGGUCGUGUGCUCCACACAUCCAUGUGACUAACUGUGUGGCCCUUGUAGACACUCAAUUUUGCCCGGGCCUAGAAAUAAGUUCAAUUUAAAAAAAAAAGUCCAAGUCUAGUACAAAAUUACAAACAUAAAAUUUGGCCCAAUCAAAAUGGCCCAUUACUUGAAAAGAUUUAAGGUCCAUCUAUAAGCUUGACUCAUAUGGAAAUAUAAUUUUUAAGGAUAUGCAAUCUUAGAUAUGAUAUGCAAUCUUAGAUAUGAUACAAUCUUAGAUUUGAUAUGCAAUCUUAGAUAUGAUAUGCAAUCUUGAAGAUAUGAUCUUGUACUCUUGGAGAUUUAAUUUGUAGAUAUCUUUUAAUAUUAACCGUUGAUGUAAUUUAUCUGUACCGUUGGAUUUGGGAAGGCUCGACUAUAAAUAGAGGCCUCUCCCUUCAUUGUAAACACACUUGAGUUUUGGGAAGCAAUAAGAAUUCUUGAGAGCAUUCACUCAAAUUUCUCUCCCUCUUGCGUUCUUACUCUUUGUGGUUUGUUCUUAUUUUAUUCUUCAUCUAUCUUAGUUUUUCAACCCUUUUUUUAUUUUAAUUUCUUCAUUUUUCAAAUAUGUAUAUUUAUUCCUAUCUUUUAUACAUUUGAUUAUGUAUUUUAUAUAUUAUAAUAUUUAACCUUUUUAUAUAGUUUAUUUUCAAAUAUAUAUUUUCUAUGCAUGUAUAUAUAUUAUAUUAUCAUUUCAUGUAUUUUGAACUAUUGCAUUAUAUUUUUAUAAUUUGUAAAUGUUCUAUUUAUUCAUUUUUUUAGUGUAUGUCAUUUAUCUUAUUUGUGCAUAGUUUCAUUUUUUUAUAUGUUAUGUUUAAUUAUUUCUUUUAUAUGCUAUUUUAUGAUAUAUGUUGUUGUAUAAUUUUUGCAUGUAUUAUGUUUUUCUUUUAGUUUACUCAUAUUUUUAUUUGUUUAUUAUCUUAUAUUUACCCUAGUAUGAUUUUUUUCAUUAAACGUAUGUUCAUGUUAUUUAGUUUUGUCUUAAUGAUAUUAUUUAUGUUUGUAUGGAAAUGUUAGAAUAUUUUGUACGUCUAUGCUUCAUGAUGCAUUAAUAUGUCAUCCUAAAACGUCAUUUAAAAUAAUAUUCCAAGGUUUUUUUUAAAAAAUAAAAAAUAAAAGGCAAUGCUUGAUGUUUGGAAACUUUAAGAAAGGUAGUGCCCUAACUUACUGGGUUGCGACUUUUCUCGUUGAAUUCGAAUAGUCAAGCACCCUUCUAAGUGAUUUUGAGUUUUCAAAAUUUAAACAAUUAUUUCGAGAUUUCAAAACAUAGUGUCCUAACUUACUGGAUAUGGCGUUUUGUUGUUUCGAGAUAGAAAUUUUCGAAAGACGAGCUUAGUUUCGAAGGUUUUAAAAUGUUGCGUCCUAACUUACUGGAUGUGAUGUUUUGACUCGUUUAAAAUAAGUGAGCCUUAAUUUUCAAAAUUGAGACAUUCUAAUUAAAAGAGGUUUGCAUCUUAAAACUUUCAAAUUUCCGACAUUAAAGACACUUGAUAAUCAAUUAGUUACCAAUUUUUGGGCGUUACGAGGGUGCUAACCCUUCCUCGUACGUAACCGACUCCCGAAUCCAUUUUCUCGACUUUCGUAGACCAAAAUUAAUGUUUUAAAACAAAACAUUUUAUAAGGUGAUCCAAUCACACCUAAAAAGAUUGGUGGCGACUCCUGUUUUCGUUUUUCUUAAAGUCGAUUCUCAUUUUCCAAAACUCGAUUUAAAAAUGGUUUCGACAGCUUGGCGACUCCGCUGGGGACCAAUAAGAGAGUCAAGCCGUGUAAUUGAUUAUCUCUUGUCUUAAUGUCGGAAAUUAAAAAUUUUAAAAAUUUAAUCCUCUUUGCAUUACAUAUGUUUGUAUUAUUACAUGUGUUGCUAUAAUCUGAUACGCAUUGCAUUUACAUGACCGUUGUGGUCACACCCUUAAGUGGGAGUGAAAAGCUACGCCUUCGUGAGGUUUUCGCCUCCAUGUAGGAUAGUGGAUCACUUUCGGGAUACAUCCGUACCUAUGGUUUCGUGAGAUUUUCAUCUCCGUGUAGCCAUACGGAAAUGUAUUCCCCUGAACUGAACUCGAUUCAAAUGAGCCUAUAAUGGGUGAGGAUCGAGGAAUCUGCUGGUUCGGGUACCUCAAACUUUAGAAACAAACCACAUAUAGAAAAACCGUAAGAGCUCAAUAUAGAUAGAAUUAUACUUAGGUUAUCUUUGUGUUUAUUAAUAUCAUAUGAUACUGACUGUUUUCUUUCUUUUGUGCAUGUCAUUUUGCAUUUAAAAGGUAAUUCACGGUCAGUUUCUAAGUUAGAAAGUUUUAUUAUGGAGAACGGACUUCUUGAUAGAAUGGAUGGCAACGCUAACAUCCAUAAAUGAUCAAAGGAAACGCUGAAGGAUACAUAUCAGAAUUAUGGGGUUACACUCGCAUCAGCGUGGUGUAAAAUAAUCUCUAAGAGUUAAAGGAAAUAUGGGAUCAAUGGAGUAAUGAAGCUAAGCAGUUGUUCUACAAUAACUAAGGGGACUUGCAGUAUUUGCUUGACAGGAGGAUAGAUGAGCAAUUCAAAGUGAGUGUGGGAGUAUUGAUGGACACUUCUACCAUUAUAGCAUUUCUCUUUCAUAUGAAGACGGUUGCUAUGUGGAUGGUAAGGGUAUUGGAAGGAAAGUGAUUGAUAGAGUGCAUGAGACCUACAAAAAUGAGUUGGAUGGAAAUAAUUUUGCCUAUGAUGGUAAAAAGCUCGUUUACUAUAGGACCGCUACCAAACAACAAGCUUGAGUUUACUAUUGUACUUAUCAGAAAUAAUGGAAAUGCAAGCCCCGAUGGCCUGGAUAGCUCAAGUAAGCGUGAAAGAAAGUGAUUAAAGAAGACCGUUUCAUACAAAGACCUUUAGAGAUUAGGUAUGCUGCGAAGGUAUCGAGGCAGGAUGCUCUGCGUGGGUAGAAAUCUGAAAGCUCUCAAGAAACAUUGAGGAUGUAGGAUAUUAUUUUAAGGGAGUACACUGCAGAACGGGAUACCUACUUGUUCGCUAAUCUAUCUCAAAAUAAUCAGAACAACUUCACAGGUAUUGGAGGAGGUGCCCUUAGCUGCAUGGAUUACCCCACAGGUGAGGUCGUAGCUCAAACUCAGGAGGCAGCUGAUUAUUUACAGACAUUGGUGGCACAACUGACAUAUUGAGCACCAAUAUGAGCUACAAUCUGAUCGUGGCCAAGAGUUUGUUUUGUUGUUAAAACUUUAGGCAUUAGGACGAAAGCGUAUUUUUAAUACAUUUAUAUGUAAAUAUAUUCUUUUUCUAAAUAAAGUUUUCUAAAUGAGAUUGAAUCGAGAUCGAUACCUUUUGCAUUCAUUUGCAUCUUAUAGCAUUUCAUUGCAUCAUUUGCAUUCAAAAUUAUAAAAAGACCCUAAUUAGUUAAAGUUAUUAAAAAGAGAAAGAAAAAGAGAGAGAGAGAGAAGAGGGUCACGGCUGAGUGAAAAAGAAGUUGAAUGGGAAUUAACGACAUUCCCUUACAUAUCCCCGACUUUUGUGUCAGGAGGGAUAGCUUACCCGGAGAAGGGGGUGUUUGGAAAUGAAAAUCAUCCCAUCAAUGUCAUACAUGAGGAAGGGACUGAAUAAAGAAACCUUGAGGGCAUUCGCCCUUACGAACCGGGAAGUUCUUUAAACAAUUGGACUGCAGAAGAACUUCCUGUAAUCUUUAGGAAUUUUACGGAGUAAUAUUCAGAACACUCUUGUUGCUCUAAAGCCUAAGAGUAAUGAGAUUUCUUUUGAGAAGUGGGCUCAUGUUCAGACAUUUUUAUUUUCAAUAAAACAUACUUUUAUUAUUUAUCCGAGUAAAUAUUCUUUCAUUCUGAUUCUUUUGACCUUUAAUAUUCUUUAUAAAUUUUCAUUGCAUUCAUAACAUGUAAAUAGUCAUUCUUGAAUUCAUUUAUUCAUUGUAUAUUCUUUUGUGUGCCUAUCAUAGAUCCCUAGAUAUCAAUGACACGGGCAACGAUAUUACAGAUUCAGAGUUCCUUUUUAGUGCGAUAUGUAUUUAGAGGAAUCUCAGUACUUUGAAGGUGACAGAAAUUGUAACUUGUUUCUGAAUUUGUUGAAAAUGGUUUUUACCCCAUGAAGUGGUUGUAGGAAAUAUAGCCUUAGAGGAAGGAAAGAUUGCGAAAUUGGAAUUAGCCGAGGAGACAAAACAAGGCCUUGUUGAGACUAUUAUGGGAAUUCAAAAAUAUGGUCCAAAGACGCAUGCAGAAGGAUUUGCAAUUGCCAGGAUAAACAUGAGGUUUUGGGGCACUGUUGGUCCACCAUGGAAAGGGAUCGCAUCAGUUGUACAAUGAAUGCCAAAUUUAAAGGAGUCAAGACUUAUGGGGUAUGUAUGAGAUGGGCCCGAGCCCGUCAAAAGUUUCAAGCUGACAAUGAUUCAUCUUUGUGGUUGUUGACUGCUCCGUUAAGAGGGUAGAGAUAGCUUCAUAUGCCAAUAUUACAAAGUCAAUAGUCAUCGAGUUUCAAAAAAAAAAGAUCAUAUCCAACUGCACAAUGUCAAAGGUUUGCAAUUUGUUCAAAAAGUAGGCGCCAUGCCACAAUACAUCAAAGGUUGCCAAAAGAAAGAAAGAAAAAUCAACAAAAGUUAUAGAAGAUGACCGAGACUUGGUAAAAAUUGGCAUAAAAAGCUACUACCUACUUUCUAUGUUUAUGCUGGGGCAAACGGCUUCAAGGAUCCCAACUAUCAUCCUUGGAAUGAAUACAGCACAUGGAUCUCCUAAGAGUCUGAUAUGCUGUCAAUAGCUGCAUUGGAUAGAUCAACGUAAUAGUUAUCGAUUUCCCACUAUAGAGCACCAGACUAUACACAGUCUCUGAAGCUUGAAAUGAUAGAUUAUCUCUUCAAACCAGUUUCUGACAAAGUAGAUCAUGAGAGAAACUCUCUUAGACUUCUAUACAAGUUUAGAGAAGAGGAAGCCUGAUCAAGUCAUGGAGAUAGUGAGUCUCAGUUCAGUCAAAUGAUGAACAAAUGAUUUGAUCAAGUUAUCAAGACUUCAGGGAUCUCCUGACAAUGUGCUACAUGGUACUGUCAUUGACAACAAAGUAUGCCAUCCAAAGAACAAUGAUUUUUACCUUGGUACCCAUGCUGGAAUGAUUGGAAUCACGAGGCAGACCCACUAUCAUGUUCUCUUAGACCAGGCUGGGUUUUCGGCUAAUGAUCUGCAAUAGUUUGUUCAUUCUCUACCCUAUAUGUAUCAAAGGAGCACCACAGCCAUAUUUGUUAUGGCUCCUAUUUGCUACGCUCAUUUGGCAGCUUCACAGUUGGGGGCAAUUUAUGAAGAUUAGGGAUGCUUCAGAAACAUCAUCGAGUCAUGGUGGGAUGUAUGUUCCGGGAUUAAUCCUUGUACCUUAACUUUCUAGGUUGAAGGAUAAAGUCAGCAACUUCAUUCUUGUCUGCUGAGAAUCAUUGAACCACUUUUUGUAGGGUUUGAAAAACAACAACCAGGACUACUGCUAGGGCAAUCCCUUCCUCAUGGGUUUAUGAAUCAAGAUUUUUCCUCCAAGCUUUGAUGGAGUCAAGAAUUGAAUACCUCUAGUAAAUUUAACUUGAAAGUAUUCAUUUUAAGCAAAUGUACCAAGAAUGGAUGACACAGACUUAUGACAAAGAAGGUUCGUCUAAAAGAAUUUCAUAAAGGAAACCUUGUGCUGAAAGAGAUCCUUCUCAUGCAAAAGGAUGCCGAAUUGGGAAGGGCCAUAUGUUGCGAAGAAGGUUUUCUCCAGAGGUACACUGAUUUUGACAAGAAAUGGAUAGGAAGAAUUUAUCUGAUCCAGUGAAUUCGGACUCGGUCAAGGAGUACUUUGUCUGAAGGAGAAGGGAAGCCAAGGUGAAAACCCGCAAAGGGCACUUUGGGACCUCUAUUUCAAAAAAAAGAGAAAAAUGAAAAAAGAAAAAUGGAGAGGCCAAGGUGAAAACCCGCAAAGGGCGCCUUGAGACCAAAAGGGUUUUGAGUUGAAAACCCGAAAGGGCAGCUCAAAUUUUUAAGAGCACACGAUAAUCUUGCUAUAUCUAAUUCAACGAAGAGUGAAGCGCGUUGCAUAUCGGGGCAUCAACAAAGUACUUUGGAUCUUUUAAACACAUGUUGAAUUCAAGAAAGUCUUCAUGGAGCUGGCAUAUAAACGCUCAAGCGGUGAUAUCUAGGGCAUCUAACUUUUGUCCUAUUUGCUAUCUUUAGAUUAUUUUUCUUCUCAAAGAUAGUCUUUUAGAUUAAUUUCCUUUACAUUUUUGACAAAUUUAUUCAAAUCUAAUUAUUCUCAAGAUUAAAUUCAUCUUCCAUUAUCCUUAAAGUAUGUUGCAUUAAAAUAAUGAUAGAUGAACUAAAUAUCUUUACAAACGAAGUUUUGCAUAUUACUCUUGAAAUUUCUAGAUAAUACAAGAAACUGAAACAAGACAAUUGUUUAAAGAAUUUCCAUAUUUGAGGGUCGGAUGUACUCGGGGAAAUUUCUUCUUCAGUCCAAAAGGUGGUUAGACGUUUUAAGCAAUAUUGAUCUUAAGAAAUGAUCAUUCCAUAAACAUCUCCAGUGGGUCACAACAUUUGGAGAAUGGUACAAUAGGACUAAGUUAAUUUAUCAAGAUAAAACUUCGAUGAGGGAAUAAGUGAUAACGUCCGAAAUAGGGGUCAUAUUCAUAACAUUUUGCAUUAGGAGAAUUUGACUCACUUCGAUCAUAGCAUCCUAAUUAUUAGACAUGAACUCAUAUGCAUUCUACAAGUUAUGUCUUUUAUGGGGCAAUGUAGAUCAAAGAAACAAGAUUUGGCAUCCCUGUGUUUAUAGGGAACAAAUCGAAGAUAGCAGAUCUGACACUCUUGUGCUUACAGCGAAGUAGAUCGAAGAUUUCAGCAUGGCAUCCCUGUGUUUAUAGGGAACAAGUUGAAGAUUUUAGCAUGGCAUCCCUGUGUUUAUAGGGAACAAGUUGAAGAUAGUAGAUUUGGCAUCCUUGUGUUUAUAGGGAACAAAUUGAAGAUAGCAGAUCUGACAUUCCUGUGCUUACAGCGAAGCAGAUCGAAGAUUUCAGCAUGGCAUCCCUGUGUUUAUAGGGAACAAGUUGAAGAUAGCAGAUUUGGUAUCCCUGUGUUUAUAGGGAACAAAUCGAAGAUAGUAGAUCUAAUAUUCCUGUGCUUACAGCGAAGCAGAUCGAAGAUUUCAGCAUGGCAUCCCUGUGUUUAUAGGGAACAAAUCGAAGAUAGCAGAUCUGGCCUUCAUAUGUUUAUACUGAAGCCGAUCCAAGGUGAUUUGGCAUCCUUGUGCUUACAAGGAACAAAUCGAAGACAUAGUUGAUUUGGCUUUCACGUGCUUACGAUGAAACAAAUCUAAGAUGAUUUGAUAUCUCUGUAUUGUCAGAGAACAAAUUGAAGUUUGGCAUCUCCAUAUUCGAUGGAGAGUAGACACAUAGCAGAUCUGGCCUUUAUAUGUUUAUACUGAAGCAGAUCCAAGGUGAUUUGGCAUCCUUGUGCUUACAAGGAACAAAUCGAAGACAUGGCUGAUUUGGCUUUCACGUGCUUACGAUGAAGCAAAUCUAAGAUGAUUUGGCAUCUCUGUAUUGUUAGAGAACAAAUCGAAGUUUGGCGUCUCCAUAUUCGACGGAGAGCAGACACAUAGCAGAUCUAACCUUCAGAUGUUUAUACUGAAGCAGAUCCAAGGUGAUUUGGCAUCCUUGUGCUUACAAGGAACAAAUCGAAGACAUAGUUGAUUUGGCUUUCACGUGCUUACGAUGAAGCAAAUCUAAGAUGAUUUGGCAUCUCUGUAUUGUCAGAGAACAAAUCGAAGUUUGGCGUGUCCAUAUUCGACGGAGGGCAGACACAUAGCAGAUCUAACCUUCAGAUGAUUAGACUGAAGCAGAUCCAAGAUGGUUUGGUAUCCUUGUGCUUACAAGGAGCAAAUCGAAGACAUAGUUGAUUUGGUUUUUGCGUGCUUACGAUGAAGCAAAUCUAAGAUGAUUUGGCAUCUCUGUAUUGUCAGAAAACAGAUCGAAGAUAACAGAUUUAGCGUCUCUGUAUUAGACGGGGAGUAGAUCAAAGAUAGCAGAUAUCGCCUUCCUAAGUUGCAGUGAAGCAGAUUGAAGCCGUCAAGAGGCCAUUUAAAGAAGAUCAAGGAUCAAGAACUCAAGACUCGGCGAGCCCGGGCAAAAUUGGUCAUUUUAUAGUCUUUGCUCUAUUCUUGUUACACAGCAAUGAGCAAAGAGGGGAAGCUGUAGACACUCAAUUUUGCCCGGGCCCAGAAAUAAGUUCAAUUUAAAAAAAAAGUCCAAGUCCAGUACAAAAUUACAAACAUAAAAUUUGGCCCAAUCAAAAUGGCCCAUUACUUGAAAAGAUUUAAGGUCCAUCUAUAAGCUUGACUCAUAUGGAAAUAUAAUCUUUAAGGAUAUGCAAUCUUAGAUAUGAUAUGCAAUUUAGAUAUGAUACAAUCUUAGAUUUGAUAUGCAAUCUUAGAUAUGAUAUGCAAUCUUGAAGAUAUGAUCCUGUAAUCUUGGAGAUUUAAUUUGUAGAUAUCUUUUAAUCUUAACCGUUGAUGUAAUUGAUCGGUACCGUUGGAUUUGGGGAGGCUCGACUAUAAAUAGAGGCCUCUCCCUUCAUUGUAAACACACUUGAGUUUUGGGAAGCAAUAAGAAUUCUUGAGAGCAUUCACUCAAAUUUCUCUCCCUCUUGCGUUCUUACUCUUUGUGGUUUGUUCUUAUUUUAUUCUUCAUCUAUCUUAAUUUUUCAACCCUUUUUCUAUUUUAAUUUCUUCAUUUUUCAAAUAUGUAUAUUUAUUCCUAUCUUUUAUACAUUUGAUUAUGUAUUUUAUAUAUUAUAAUAUUUAACCUAUUUAUAUAGUUUAUUUUCAAAUAUAUAUUUUCUAUGCAUGUAUAUAUAUUAUAUUAUCAUUUCAUGUAUUUUGAACUAUUGCAUUAUAUUUUUAUAAUUUGUAAAUGUUUUAUUUAUUCAUUUUUUUAGUGUAUGUCAUUUAUCUUAUUUGUGCAUAGUUUCAUUUUUUUAUAUGCUAUGUUUAAUUAUUUCUUUUAUAUGCUAUUUUAUGAUAUAUAUUGUUGUAUAAUUUUUGCAUGUAUUAUGUUUUUCUUUUAGUUUACUCAUAUUUUUAUUUGUUUAUUAUCUUAUAUUUACCCUUGUAUGAUUUUUUUCAUUAAAUGUAUGUUCAUGUUAUUUAGUUUUGUCUUAAUGAUAUUAUUUAUGUUUGUAUGGAAAUAUUAGAAUAUUUUGUACAUCUAUGCUUCAUGAUGCAUUAAUAUGUCAUCCUAAAACGCCAUUUAAAAUAAUAUUCCAAGGUUUUUUUUUUUAAAAAAUAAAAGGCAAUGCUUGAUGUUUGGAAACUUUGAGAAAGGUAGUGCCCUAACUUACUGGGUUGCGACUUUUCUAGUUAAAUUCGAAUAGUCAAGCACCCUUCUAAGUGAUUUUGAGUUUUAAAACUUAAACAAUUAUUUCGAGAUUUCAAAACAUAGUGUCCUAACUUACUGGAUAUGUCGUUUUGUUGUUUCGAGAUAGAAAUUUUCGAAAGACGAGCUUAGUUUCGAAGGUUUUAAAAUGUUGCGUCCUAACUUAUUGGAUGUGAUGUUUUGACUCGUUUAAAAUAAGUGAGCCUUAAUUUUCAAAAUUGAGACAUUCUAAUUAAAAGAGGUUUGCAUCUUAAAACUUUCAAAUUUCCGACAUUAAAGACACUUGAUAAUCAAUUAGGUACCAAUUUUUGGGUGUUACGAGGGUGCUAACCCUUCCUCGUACGUAACCGACUCCCGAAUCCAUUUUCUCGACUUUCGUAGACCAAAAUUAAUGUUUUAAAACAAAACAUUUUAUAAGGUGAUCCAAUCACACCUAAAAAGAUUGGUGGCAACUCCCGUUUUCGUUUUUCUUAAAGUCGAUUCUCAUUUUCCAAAACUCGAUUCAAAAAUGGUUUCGAUAGCCCUAAUUCUAGGCACAGUUUGUCUUGAUUCACUUGUUAAAGAACACACACCUGUCACAGGGAUCUCGAAUGACGUUCCUCACACUCAAAUUCGGUUGAUGCACCAAAAAUGGGUCCUUCAAAUGACAAUUUCAAACGAUUAAUGUUUUAUUUCCAAGAUUUAUCAAGAUUUGUUGAUUUUAACGAAAGAUUUGUCAAGAACCAUGAAAAAUUAUCUAGCUGAUUUGAAAUAUUAAUAUCGGAUAGAAAUUCUACGAAAUUUGGGGUCUAAAUUUUAGAAUGAGAUGCACUUAUCGAACUUGAUGGAAUUACAGAGGCUAUCAACAAUGAAUUCAACAAUCAGUAAAGAAUUGAUUUAUCAGGGAUGAUUUGAUAUCGAAAAAAAAAUAAUUAUCAACAAUUAGGAUGAAAAUAUGAUGUAAAGAAAAUAGAAAAAUGAUAAAAGGAGAACAAAUAGAAAGAUGGAGGGCAAAUUGAAAUUCUAAUUAGUAAAAGAAUAUAAAAAGAUAGUAGAUUUCUAAUUCUAUUGGGAUUUUGAAGAGGACAAUAUAUGAAUUCUAGUUAAGGAAGAAUUGACAAAUCUUAGGGCUUGUGAACCCUAGAAGCCGUACUUGCAAUUUUCUUAAUAUUUUGCCAAAAUUUGAAACUAAAAUUAAAGGAGAGGAGAAGAAGACUUAAACCGUUGAAAAUUAAAAGGAAAAAAUUAAAGGAGUGGGAUUUGAACUUAGAUUCUAUGGAGACAGUAACACCUAACCACUCAACCAAUGUCUUAUUUCUUGCUUAUUUUAGUAAGUCAGUUGCAUAUAUUUAUUUCGAGCUCAACUCACGUAUUCUUUAGUAGCUUACGCAUUUACUCAAUUUUUUUCUUAUUAACUUAUUUAACUCUAUAAUUUUUAACACAUUCAUAUUUUAGUUUAUAUUUAGUAAUUAAUGCUCAUAGUCAAGUCUCAUUAUUAAUAUUUUAAUCCAUGUUACCCCUUUUCCAAUUAGGUCCUAAUUCAAUUAAAAGACUUUAUUUUCAUAUUAAACCUCGUAAUCAAGUUUCAUUUUACAUUAAUUAAUAUAAUAAUACAUGAUUAUAUUAUAAUAAUACAUGAUUAUAUUUUUUUUAAUACUUUAAUUAAUUAUUUAUGAACCUAAUUUCGAUAUCUAUUUCAAACCAUCGAUUUAUAAAUGCUCAAAAAUACCCUUAUAAAUCAGGGUGUGACCACUUUCGAUUUUCACAAACCCAAUUCUUCUAACCCGAUUUUUAGGGGGUGACAAAAAACACACAAAAUCAUAGUUUUGGAUCUAUUUAGGAAUGGAAAUAAGGCAAGGCGGGCUGGAUUUUCAUCCGCCCUGAACCCAACCUGAAACUUGAGGUAUCCACCUCGUCCCCGACUUUUAAGAAAAAAAUUGUCCUAAACCUAAACAUGAAAUUUAAUAGAAGAUCUGACUCCGAUCUGACCUAAAUUUAAUUUAAUUAUUUUUUUAUUUGAAGUAAAUAGGACUUUUUAGUUUAGAAUUAAAAUUUAAUAUAUAUAUUGAAGGCAAAAAUACUUUAUAUAUAUAUAGAAGGCAUUUUUGUAAAUAUUUAGGGGCAGGGUGAAUUUUUCUCGAACCCAACCUUGUCCCAAUCCAUUUUUUUUUAAUUUCACCUGAUCUAAUUUGAACUCGAUUUUUAAAAAGAAAAUUUUGACACUAACGAAUUAAAUCGAAAUUCGUCAGAUUCGAAUUUUAAUUUUUUCCAUCCCCAAUUAGAGGGCAACCUAAAACUCAAUUAAUUAAUUAUAAGUACGGACUUUGCCCCAACAAAAAAAAAAUCACCUUUUUAGGUUCAAGACUGCCAAUGGUGUGUUAAAUUCUACUAUUAGUCCCUAUACUUUUUAAAAAUUAUGAAUAUAAUCCCUGCAUCUUAAUUUAAUUAAUUUUAAUGCUUGUACUUUUAAAAUUGAUCAAUUUUAAUCAUUAUACUUUUUGAAUUUUGAAACUUUAGUAGUCACCCAAACAGUAGUAGUUAAAUUUAAUUACUUGGCUUGUACUAUAUGUAUAAUUGUAGAUUUAGUUAUAUUCUCCAAUUGGAUCAUUUUAAGUCUCUAUACUUCUUUAAAGUCUAAAAUUUCAUUUUUAAUGCAAAAUGACAGUGGUUAAUCCAUUAACUGGAUUUUUAGUGAGUAAUAUGUAGAAAUAACAAGUUAAUAUGAUAUUAUACAUAUGAUAAUAUGUUUGUUGCAUUAGAUUUUGAAAACAACAAAAUUUAAAUAAAUGAUUCUAACAAUUAUCGUUUGAGAUGAUGACUGAAAUUUAAAAAUUUAAAAAAUAUAAAAACUAAAAAUAACAAAAUUAAAUUCAAAACUUUUACUUAAUACAAAGAUUAAUCACCACUAAUCACACAUUUUUUUAAUUUUCUUAAUCCUUAGAACAUUGUUUCUGAUGAAACCAGUUUGACCUUAUCCUUUUAUAUGUACUACAACCCAUGAAUUAUACCUUGAUUAAUUAAGAAGAGAAUACAGAUAAACAUAGCUGGAGUUUAAUUUAACUACUAUUCAUUGCCCACCAUCUAAUUUUACUUCAUUAAUUUGUUUUUUUUAGAAUAGUAUGUUAUAGUGAAUUUGUAGAAUGAUAAUUCUUUGGGAGAAAUUUUUAAAGUGUAAUUUCCAAUAAUUGAAGGUAUUAUCUUCAUGUUAGGAUUUUGUCCCUAAUCUUUAUGGAGAACCGUGUAUGAUUGACCUUAAUACAAAGAUAUAGGUUGCAGGAGUGGAGAGAUGUUAAUAUAAAAGAUGUGAAUUGUCAUAACCAUUUUUUUGGAAAACGAACGCCUAUCAACUUAGAGAAAAACGAAAACAGGAGUCGCCACCAAUCUUUUUAGGUGUGAUUGGAUCACCUUGUAAAAGUGGUUGUUUUCAAUAAAUGGUUUGAUUUAUUUAAACAACAAUUUUGGUCCACGUAAAUCAAGAAAACAGGUUUGGGAGUCGGUUACGCACAAGGAAG